UAAGUAUAAUCAUAUUUACUGAGCUUUAGUAAACUAUGACGAAUAGUCUUAUCAAUCUUUUGUGGUGGACUUAAUCAGUGCACAAGAAUGUGUACUCGAUCCCUUAGUCCUUUACUUGACUCACACAUCCAUGUGAACAAGUAAUUAGUCUUAAUUUUCCAAUACUUGAAAGUUCUCAUUCAUCAUGCUAUACAACUUGCAUGAUUCCAAGUUCCGGUCCAAUUGAAACUUGGGUGAUGAGAAUCUUUCCUUAUUUGGUAAAUUUAGACAUUACCACAAAUGAAAGAAUCAAUUUCAUAUUUCCACUCUUGCUAUUAAUGGAAUCAUAUAAGCAACAAUUUUUCCUCAAAAGCCAUUGUAAGGAUAUUUUAAAAUAAAUAAAAUCAAAAAAAAUUUCUUUUAUUUUAAAACUUUGCGGAAAAACUUAUCCUUACAAUCCAUAUGAAAACUUGUUGUUAUCUAUUCCUAAGCAAUAUCUCAUAACUCCUAAGAAGUAGCUCAAGAAUCCGAUUUUUCAAACUAUGCGAUAGAAAUCCAUCUAUGCGAUCAGAUUCAGCAUAUUCUUUCUUUAAGUUUCUUCACUUUUCUUUGAUUCUUAAAACAUCACCAUGUGACCCAGUCACAUCAUGUAUCAAGAAUCUCAGAAUAGAAACUUAACAGAGUUAGAUAGUGGACUUUACCUGAAGUAGAGUCAAACUUAUUGACUUUAACAUCCUUAGGUAAAUUUGGCAGCUUCGCAACCAAUGCCCCUUCCUUUGGCAAUAUAAACAUAUGGACCCUUUGAUAAUGGUACACGAGACUAUCACAGACUUAGCUUUUCUCUUUACCAUUUGGUCAACCGAGUUGACUAUGGCCGAUCCCUUUCCACUGGGAAGAGAGAGCUUUACUAGAUAUCCAAUGUCAUCAUUGUCAAUGUCCAUAAAGUUUUAGGAAGUUGAUCUUAUCAAAUAGAUAAGAUCAUUAAGGGUCUUGUCAUAGUCUGUUUCAUAGGUGUUCCAAAAGAACUCACUAUGUGAAUUAGAAAGUAGUUGAACCACCAACUUUCUCAAGACUUUGACACCCAACUCUCCUAGCUUGUCAAUAUGUGAGUACAUCUCCAAGAUGUGUCCACACCUAGACCUUGCCUUGCCAAUAGGGCUUGAGUGACCUUAAACUUUGUUUAAGAACAUGUGGGUUAGGGAGAAUAGUUGGAGGAGGUGAAAGAAGUAUGAUUUCCAAGGGACAUCAUCUUCAUUUAGGAAACCUUGCUUCAUGAGAUUUGGGAAGAUCAUAUGUGUCUAAACCAGACAUCUUUUAGGAGAUAUUCAAGAUAGUUGAUUUAAAGUCCUUAAUAUGACACCCAAUAUGAAAUAUUAAGGCUAGGACCCAACAAACUAUUUUAUAACUUAGAAGAGGUAUGCCGUAAUCCAAGCUAUAAAAUAUUUGAAGGUAGGUGAAUGACGAUUCACCAAUUUCCACCAAGAUAAACGAAAUGUAUUAUUAGGUUUUAAUUGGUUUUGAAACUCCUAGAUCUUUGAGAUUCAUUGAACUGUUCAAAGGCAUGUUUCAAUCUCGAGUGUGCCCUUCAGGUUUUGUGACUGGGAUGCCGAGGAUCACAAAACAAGGUGUGAAGUAACCAUGCAAAUCACUUGGUACCCUUAAUAAAUUACCCCUCAAUCGAUGUGCCGGUUAACCACACACGCUCCAUCGAUACUAUGAUAAAUAUUAAGUCACCCUUUACCUACCUUGUUAAGUCCAAGUUAGUGUGCCGGUUAACCACACACGCUCCACUAACGACUUAGACAAAGUGUAAAGUGUAAUUUCAUGGAUUAGCACCUUAUUCACAUUUUUCCUAAGUAACUAAGAUUGGGUAUUAUUAAGAGUUUAGUUACUUAGUAUUAUCAUUAAUACUUUUAAUGAAGGGAGAAUUCUAGUCCUGUCAAACCCGUUCGGCUAACGACCCUCCACCAGUCAAGCAAGCGGUGGGUGAGAGUGGACACCCAUUAAGUUGCCAUUUUAUAGGCAACAACCUUAUACCCACCUUAUAGACCGGCUUCGUGAAUGAGGCGUACUAGCGGUAAGACUGACUUUACUCUUAUACAUAUAUAUAUUAUUAACUUAUAAUAUUAUAAAGUAUAAGGGUUGAAUUUUAACUUUUAAAAUUCUAAGGGCUAACUUGGAAUUAAAGUAUUCAUAAGUGAAAACUUUACAAAUUCCAAAACUUGAGGGCAAGUUUUGAAACUAUUCAAAACUAAUUAAUUCCAUAACUUAUGUGUUUAAAGUAGUUUUAAUCCAAAAACUCUUCAAGUUCCAUAACUUGAGGACAAGUUAUGGAAGACUUUAAACUAAUAAAAGAAUUAACUUUUCUUUAUUUUAUAACUUAUGGAAUUAAUUAAGGUUACACNNNNNNNNNNNNNNNNNNNNNNNNNNNNNNNNNNNNNNNNNNNNNNNNNNNNNNNNNNNNNNNNNNNNNNNNNNNNNNNNNNNNNNNNNNNNNNNNNNNNNNNNNNNNNNNNNNNNNNNNNNNNNNNNNNNNNNNNNNNNNNNNNNNNNNNNNNNNNNNNNNNNNNNNNNNNNNNNNNNNNNNNNNNNNNNNNNNNNNNNNNNNNNNNNNNNNNNNNNNNNNNNNNNNNNNNNNNNNNNNNNNNNNNNNNNNNNNNNNNNNNNNNNNNNNNNNNNNNNNNNNNNNNNNNNNNNNNNNNNNNNNNNNNNNNNNNNNNNNNNNNNNNNNNNNNNNNNNNNNNNNNNNNNNNNNNNNNNNNNNNNNNNNNNNNNNNNNNNNNNNNNNNNNNNNNNNNNNNNNNNNNNNNNNNNNNNNNNNNNNNNNNNNNNNNNNNNNNNNNNNNNNNNNNNNNNNNNNNNNNNNNNNNNNNNNNNNNNNNNNNNNNNNNNNNNNNNNNNNNNNNNNNNNNNNNNNNNNNNNNNNNNNNNNNNNNNNNNNNNNNNNNNNNNNNNNNNNNNNNNNNNNNNNNNNNNNNNNNNNNNNNNNNNNNNNNNNNNNNNNNNNNNNNNNNNNNNNNNNNNNNNNNNNNNNNNNNNNNNNNNNNNNNNNNNNNNNNNNNNNNNNNNNNNNNNNNNNNNNNNNNNNNNNNNNNNNNNNNNNNNNNNNNNNNNNNNNNNNNNNNNNNNNNNNNNNNNNNNNNNNNNNNNNNNNNNNNNNNNNNNNNNNNNNNNNNNNNNNNNNNNNNNNNNNNNNNNNNNNNNNNNNNNNNNNNNNNNNNNNNNNNNNNNNNNNNNNNNNNNNNNNNNNNNNNNNNNNNNNNNNNNNNNNNNNNNNNNNNNNNNNNNNNNNNNNNNNNNNNNNNNNNNNNNNNNNNNNNNNNNNNNNNNNNNNNNNNNNNNNNNNNNNNNNNNNNNNNNNNNNNNNNNNNNNNNNNNNNNNNNNNNNNNNNNNNNNNNNNNNNNNNNNNNNNNNNNNNNNNNNNNNNNNNNNNNNNNNNNNNNNNNNNNNNNNNNNNNNNNNNNNNNNNNNNNNNNNNNNNNNNNNNNNNNNNNNNNNNNNNNNNNNNNNNNNNNNNNNNNNNNNNNNNNNNNNNNNNNNNNNNNNNNNNNNNNNNNNNNNNNNNNNNNNNNNNNNNNNNNNNNNNNNNNNNNNNNNNNNNNNNNNNNNNNNNNNNNNNNNNNNNNNNNNNNNNNNNNNNNNNNNNNNNNNNNNNNNNNNNNNNNNNNNNNNNNNNNNNNNNNNNNNNNNNNNNNNNNNNNNNNNNNNNNNNNNNNNNNNNNNNNNNNNNNNNNNNNNNNNNNNNNNNNNNNNNNNNNNNNNNNNNNNNNNNNNNNNNNNNNNNNNNNNNNNNNNNNNNNNNNNNNNNNNNNNNNNNNNNNNNNNNNNNNNNNNNNNNUUGUACGCCCCCCCCCCCAAUAAAAGCAUUUAAAAACAUUUAAAAGGUUAAUUAAGGGGUAUGAACUCACCUGUAGUGAGUGGAUUAUAUGGAAGUGUUGGACAAGGUGCUAGGUAUCAAGUGAAGACUUGAACACACAUAAUGAUCCUAUUAACAUAUAAAGACAUAUGCAUGUAUAUAAUUAGUGAUUAUAACACUAAUUAGACAAGUAUAAACACCCUAGAUCAUGGAAAAACACUUUGAUUCAAGUGUUAUAAGAACUUAGGGUUGCAUCUAGGGGUUGUAAGGCAUUGGUAUUGAGUUCACGACCCAAGGACCAACUCUCCUUGGAGUUUACGGCCUAGGGUUUACGGCCUAAGUGGGUUUACGGCCGUAAACCCAUGAAAAACUCCCCAAAUUCGUGUGUUAAGGUCCUUAGCUCAAAUGUGAAGGGUUCUAGGUCAAUAUUCAAGCAUUAGGAAGGGAUGGUGGCACUUAUGCACCACUUUAUGGUGUUUACAGCCCAAGGAGAUUGCCUUGGCUGUAAACCCAUGUGUUCUUGAGAAAAAUCGAUGUUUAAGGUUCUUAGCUCAAGGGGGAGGUGUUCUAGUCCAAGUUCCAAGCCUUAAGAAGGAAUGUAGGGCAAUAAUGCACCCUUUAUUAGAGUUUACGGCCAAGGGAGAUUUCCUUGGCCGUAAACUUUGUUGCUUGAUUCUUGGGGUUUUCAAGUCCCUAACUCAAUAUACUGACUUACAAACAUGCAAAGGGGUUAAGGACUUACAGUUUGAAGGCUAAGAAGGGGAGUUUUCGACCCAAAACACACAAGUGUUCUUAGUGUUCUUGAGGAUCUUGAAGAUCUAAGCAUUAAAGAUGGAGUUGUGGAUGGAUUCAAAGGAGAAUCAUGUAGAAAUGAUGUAACAAAUCUAAGAUGGAAGGAUUUUACUUACACUUGUGAAGAUUGGAAGAAAAACUUGAAGAUCCUUGGGAGAGAAAUCAGAUUUCUCUAGCUAGAAGCGCUAGAAAUGAAGAAAAUGACUAAGGCAUAUAUAUACACCCUGGAGUUUACGGCCGUCAACUCCAUUUUAUGGCCGUAAACUCCAAACUCUUGGAGUUUUGAGACUUAAGUUUUGCACAUUUAACUCUAGAGUAUACUUCCUAUAAUUACCUUGGAUGUAUUUAAGAUUAAAACACCCAAACUGACUCCAAAUCUGCUAAAAAUUACCAGAAGUGAGUUUGACUUUAAAUGAAGUGCUUGACUGUAGGGUUUGUACAAAUGGAAAUUUCGGGUUGUCACAUCAGCACUGAAGAUGCCCACAGAAAUCUGUCAAUUCUAGGGUCUCGAUGGCUAUUAUUGCAGGUUUAUCCAAAAUUUCUCCAGAAUCGCCAAACCCUUAACCACUCUGACUCAGAAGGGUGUACCAUUUUGUUGGAGUGAAUAGCAAUAUACCGCGUUCCAAAUAUUGAAGCACCCCCUAUGCAGCGCACCUAUCCUAUCUCUGCCCAAAAGGACGGAGGACUUCGUUGUCUACUGUGAUGCAUCCAAUCAGGGCCUAGGCUGUGUGCUCAUGCAGCGGGGGAAAGUUAUUGCUUGUGCCCCGAGACAUCUGAAGGCACAUGAAGUCAAUUAUACAACUCAUGAUCUAGAAUUGGGAGCAGUGGUCUUCGCAUUGAAGAUAUGGAGACAUUACCUCUACGGAACCAAGUGCACCGUAUUUACCGAUCAUAAGAGCCUACAACACAUCUUCGAUUAGAAAGAGUUGAACAUGAGGCAACGAUGAUGGGUAUAGCUACUCUGUGAUUAUGAGUGCAAAAUACGCUACCAUCCUAGCAAGGCCAAUGUGGUAGCAGAUGCCCUCAACCAGAAAGAGUACUCAGGUCGCAGUGUGAAAGCACUAACAAUGACCAUCCAUUCCCACUUAUCCGCACAAAUCAGAGAGGCUCAGCUGGAAGCCUUAAAACCAGAGAAUGUGGUGGAUGAAGCCUUGAGAGGAAUGGAAAAGAACUUAGAGAUCAAGCGAGUCGGAGUCUAUUAUUUCAUGGAUCGGAUCUGGACCCCAAAGUUUGGAGGGUACAGGGAGGUUGUCGUGAACGAAGCUCACAAAACUAGAUACUCUGUUCACCCAGGUUCGGACAAGAUGUACCUUGAUCUCAAGAAACUAUAUUGGUGGCUAAACAUGAAAGCGGAGAUCGCUACCUUCGUGGGCAAGUGUCUGACUUGCGCCAAGGUGAAGGUUGAAUAUCAGAAGGCCUCAGGUUUGCUUCAACAGCCGGAGAUACCUGAAUGGAAGUGGGAGAGGAUUGCUAUGGAUUUUAUCACUAAAUUACCCAAAUCUCUGAGUGGGUACGAUACCAUAUGGUUAAUUGUCGACCGAUUGACAAAAUCUGCCCACUUCCUACCAAUCAAAGAAACGUUCAAGAUGGAAAAGCUCACACGAAUUCACAUCCAAGAGAUAGUUCGACUGCACGGUGUGCCUGUAUCCAUUAUCCCCGAUCGAGAUAGCAGGUUCACCUUGAUAUUUUGGCAAUCCCUGCAGAAAGCUCUUGGAACUAAGCUAGAUAUGAGCAUAACUUAUCAUCCUCAGACAUACGGGCAGAGUGAGAGGACCAUCCAGACCUUGGAAGACAUGUUGAGAGCAUGUGUCAUCGAUUUCGGUAAGUCGUGGGAUGCCCAUUUGCCCUUGAUUGAGUUAUCCUACAACAACAGUUAUCAUACCAGCAUCAAGGUUGCGCCUUUUGAAGACCUUUAUGGCCGUAAGUGCAUAUACCCUCUGUGUUGGGCUGAGGUGGGCAACACGCAGCUAGCUAAGGGACAAGUCCCUAACAACACUCUCACUGGUUCGGAAAUCAUCCGUAAAACCACCAAAAAGACCGUACAAAUCCAAGAACGACUGAAAGCCUCACGAUAUAAACAAAAAGAGCUACACCGAUAAACGACGAAAACCCAUGGAGUUCGAGGUUCGAGACCGCGUUCUACUGAAGGUAUCACCCUGGAAGGGCAUGAUACGCAUUGGAAAGCAUGGAAAGCUGAACCCGAGAUACGUAGGACCAUUCAAGAUCCUUGCUAGGAUCGGUCCCGUAGCAUACAAAUUUCAUCUACCUUAAGAACUUAGCAACAUCCAUCCCGUCUUCCACGUCUCAAAUCUUAAGAAGUGUUUGUAACGCCCGUAGAUCCAGGCUUGCCAAUUUAGAGGUAAUAGGGGUUGAAAAUGACAUUUUGACAAAAGAUUAUUUAGAAUAAAUAAUCUUAACCAAGUUGUAGAAUAUGUCUCAAGGGUUCCGUACAUAUAAAGAAUGCCGAAAUCCGAGUUAUAACGAAGAAGUUAUGGCUCGUUGAAGUUUUACGGCAAAACCGGCACGCCACUAGAAGACAUAAAUAGUGAAUUUAUGAUGGAGGACUUUUUAGCCUUAAUAAUCUAAACAAAAGUCAUAGAAUAUGUUAAACUGAGACCGUCCAUAAAAAGAACGUCCAAAUCUGAUUUCGUAUGAGGAAGUUAUGAUUUUUCUAAGAUUUAGCAUAACAAUGCACAACCCGGAAUUCGAAUUUUAGAUUGAGUGGUUUUUGGCCAACGCGACCUAAAUGAGAAUUGAAUAUAUCAUUAAUAGGAACUCAAUGACAAAAAGACAGACGAAAACGGAGUCCGUAUGUAAAAGUUAUGAAUUUUUAAGGGACCAAUCUUGUCCCGUCCUGUUAAAAAUAUAACUUUAAAAAUAAAGUCAAAAUUAGCCGACGGAGUCUAAACGAAAGUUGUAGGGUACGGUCCUGCCUACACGUGGAUAUAACGAACGUCAAAAACGGAGUCUGUAUGAUCGAGUUAUAAAAUAUAAUAGCAUAUUUACGUAUUAAAAUAAAGUAUAAAUCAUAUAUACGUAUACAUAUAUAUACAAAUGUAUAUAUCAUUAGAAAGGUAUCGACGAUGCGGUCAUUAUAAGACUAUCGUUGAGUAUUUUCGACAUUAGUUUAGUACAAAAAUCGUUAAAUCUAUUUAAAAUAAUACUAUGAAGGGGUGUUUAGUCGUUUAUAUAACUAUAGGGUCAUUAAGUAAUUAUGGAGGGUAGUUUUUGUAAAUUCAAUUACUAUAAAUAAGAGGCUUGGACUCUCAUAUUUCUUUCACCAUUCUCUUGAUUCAAGAGUCUUUCUCUUCUUAUCCCCCGAGCAUUUCGGUCCCUCGUGAUUCGACUUCUCUUUCUGUAGUUUUAGUACAGUAAGUUGAGCGUUGAAGCGCUGCACGAAUCUUUCUUAGAAAGAUUCAUCGACGAAGUUCUGCCACUGCAGAGCCCGACUCCUACCUAAAACCCCCUUGUAGGUAAUUUAUGGUUACCCUAUUUUAAAUAUAGUUUAUAUUUAAAAUUAAUAUUGUCAUUAUGAACUUAUAAUAAAUAUUUGAGCUAUUAUUAUGACUUAUAUAAGUGUUGUUAUAAUAUCUUUUUAACUACCCGCGGUACGGGGAAUCUGGUUUAAAUGGUGACAUUGGGUUGUUGGAUUUCAAAAGUGUUAUAUGCCAAAAUCAUCCCGCCCUCCGGUGUUUUAUGUCUGGCCCUGUCUGUACAUAGUGGUUGGAAAGUAUUGUUUUAACGUUUAUAUAAUAAUAAUAAUAAUAAUAAUAAUAAUAAUAAUAAUAAUAAUAAUAAUAAUAAUAAUAAUAAUAAAUAAUAAUAAUAAUAAUAAAAAUAAUAAUAAUAAUAAUAAUUAGUCACGGUAAAUAUUAGACUAAAAUCUAGUGGUAAUAAUACUAGGUUUCGUCGAAGGAAAUUAUUUUAAAGUAAAUGAAGCGCUGUCCGAGUACCGAGUCACCACCUUAUCAAGUGAGUGCAUAGUUACUUUCAUGUUACACAUAGAUAUGAAGUAUUUUAUAUAAAUUACGUGUUAUGUGUGCAUAUUGUCUGAAUACUUGCUGUCUAUGCUGGAUGAAUGAUUUUAUACAUGUUUUAAUGAUUUAAACUGUAUAUGUAUUCUAUAUCUACAAAAUAUGUUGGGUAAAACAUGGGUAGAUGAAUGAUGAGGGAUGAAGGCUGAAACAGAGGAACAUUAGUAGUAUGGACCUAGUGCUCUAUAGGUGAACAUUGGCAGCAAUGGACCUAGUACCCUAUAGAUAAGCACUGGCACUUGUGCCAAAAUCUGUAGAUGUUUUAGAUCUACGAUAAACAUCCUAGCAGAUGCGCUCUAAGGAUAGUAUCGACAGUUGUGCCUAAUAGAGAACAUUAUAACCAUAACAAUAGCCUCUAAAGGACAAUACCGGCAGAAGCACCUCACAUAGAAUGUCACAAUUCUGGCAGUUGCGCCUAAGUGAUAGAACUAGCAGUUGUGCUUGAUAGCAGUGUCAUUGACAACGAUGGACUUCGUACCUACUCCUUAGUAUAAUCCUUAGGAAUGAAUGAAUGAGAAAUAGCUGAUUCUUAGGGUAGACCCUUAAGAGUAAAGAAGAUAAUAGGGAUGGGUUAUUGGGUUAACUGUUUGAUGAUUAAACAUAAUAAUUAUAUUAUUGUGGGUUGAAAACCCUAUGUACUCACUAGGUUUCCCAACCUGACCCACUCAGUUUAUUUAUAUCACUGGUGUUGAUAUGAAGUUACAUUACACUGAGAGAUUAAGGAGAUAUAAAUCACUAGUGUUAAUGAAUGUAAGUUCUGUUUAUGCUUAUGUUUCUGUAUUGACGAUGACAUCCCAAAUGUUUUAAAAUGAAUAAAAAUACGUUUCUUCGGAAAUGCCUUGAUAACGUAUUUAUCAUGUUUUACUGGGAACAAAUUCCGCAACAUUUUUAUUAAAAUAGGUACUUUGAUUUUCAUAAAGCAAAAACAAAAUCGGUCUUUUUCUGGUCGUAAAAGUGGGGAUGUCACAGUUGGUAUCAGAGCAUUAGUUUAAGCGAACUAGGAAUUUGUAGGAAAUUUCUAGACUUAAACUUAGAAUGCUAAGCGAUGAUUGUGAGAUGAGUGUCUGCUAUAUUUUAGACACAAGCACUAGUUUAUUUUAGGAAAGAUGCCUAAAAUGUUUUAUGUGCUAAAUGUUUUAUGUUAUAGCUAUAAAAAUAUCUUAUAUGCUAUUAUUUGUUUGGAUCUAUUGUCUGUUGCCGACCAAAUCUGGAAAUUUUAUGUGUUCAGAUUUCUAAAUGUUUGAUUACGGUAAUAGAACUGACAUAUAACUUUUCGGUGUGACAAGGAGAUCUAUACGUCUAUUGUAAAUAAAAUCUUUCCUAUCUUAAAAUUCUCGCCUCGGUACACCGAACGUCUGCUUGGGUGUACAAAACGUCAUGGUGAAGACAGACUAGGAAAUGACCGAGGAAGAUGACAACCUAAGCCUAGGAAUGUGAUGGGUCAUGCAUCGGUCGUAGUGCCUGCACCCAAACCUAUAACAAUGGCAGAAGUUCAGGAAGUGAUGCGAACCAUGAUAGAUUGAGAAAAUAGAGGAAAUGAGAUGGCUUACAAUUGUGAAUGAUACCUAUCGGAAGAUAUCAUAAGAGAGGUAUCUUGCCUUUAGAAUACGUCUGAUAAAAUAGCAGUACGUCUAGAGAAGUACGGUACAUCUAAAUGUACACAUUUGAUUGGCGGGAUGAUAGAACGAUUGGUGUAAUUCCUAAAAUUUUCCUAUCAUCUGGAAUUUCCAUCACCAACCGAGUUGAAGCAGAAUUGAUGAUUGAAGAUACGCAUGGAAGAAGUCCUAGUAGAGUCUAGGGAAAUUUUUAUGAUUAUUUGGACACACUCGUAUGUGUUAAAUUGUUUUGUGAUUUUAGGACUUGGGGACUGCGAGACAAUACUUGGGACGAGUAUGAGUAGGUGUGAAAGGUAGUAGAUGCAUAUACUACCGGAAGCACAGGACUCACGCUUGGAUCAGGGAAAGUCACAAGGUUACCAAGAAGCCAAUAAUUGAUUCCGUUUUAUUCAAGCAUGUCGUUACCAUCGUUUCGGUAAUGACUAAGAAGAUUAUUGUUAUUCUGACCCUAGUGGUCAUAUCAAAUUGAGUCUGACUAAGAUGAGUAUGAUACGUGGUUCAGAGAACCAAGUUCGAUGUAGCAUCUGACUUAAACUAGAAGAUUGAAAUGAAAGCUAACCAACGCGAUCAUUAGAAGUAUCGCGAUGAUUGUUAAAGAAGUUGGUAGCUAGAAAUGCUACAUGUUGAAAUAUGAUUGUAUCACGUUAGAAUAUGAAUGAAGGUAUAGUCUGUUCUGGAAUUUGACUCUAAGAGACCUAAGUCUAAGUGUUGCAACAUAAGAUGAGAGGUCAUUACAACGUGACACAUCGACCUAUUGUGGUAAUCAAAUAUACCUAUCUUAAGUUUGUUAAGAAGAAGAAGGAGUCUCCAUUAAGGAUCAAGACCGUGACUUAAAGGUCAUAAUUUGGAGUCUAACGUGAGAUAGGGAGCAAGUGCAAGAUCAAGCACCACCUGUAGUCAAGGAGUCCAAGAGUUAGAAACUUGUUCAAAGCAACAUAUAAGUUAUGAUUAUUACCUAGGAUGAAAAGAUAACGUAUGGAGUCAUCAUGUGAGCCCUGUUUCAUUGAUGAUUUCAGGACGUAAUCAUCCUAAGGGGGAGACAAUUGUAACGCCCGUAGAUCCGGGCUUGUCAAUUUAGAGGUAAUAUGGGUCGAAAAUGACUUUUUGACAAAAUAUUAUUUAGAGUAAAUAAUUUUCACCAAGUUGUAGAAUAUGUCUCAAGGGUUCCGUACAUAUAAAGUACGCCGAAAUCCAAGUUAUAACGAAGAAGUUAUGGUCCGUCGAAGUUUUACGGCAAAACCGGCACGACACCGGGAGACGUAAAUAGUGAAUUUAUGAUGGAGAACUUUUUAGCCUUAGUAAUCUAAACAAAAUUCAUAGAAUAUGUUAAACUGAGAGAGUCCAUAAAAAUAACGCCCAAAUCUGACUUCGUAUGACGAAGUUAUGAUUUUUUUAAAAUUUAGCAUAAUAGUGCACAACCCGAAAUUUGAAUUUUAGAUCGAGCGGUUUUUGGCCAACGCGACAUAAAUUAGAAUUGAAAAUAUCAUUAAUAGGAACUCAACGAUAACAAGACAGACGAAAAUGGAGUUCGUAUGUAAAAGUUAUGAAUUUUCAAGGGACCAAUCCUCUCCCGGCCUGUUAAAAAUAUAACUUUAAAAAUAAAUUCAAAAUUAACCGACGGAGUCUAAACGAAAGUUGUAGGGUACGGUCCCGCAUACGCGUUGAUAUAAAGAACGUCAAAAUCGGAGUCCGUAUGAACGAGUUAUAAAAUAUAAUAGCAUAUUUACAUAUUAAAAUAAAGUAUAAAUCAUAUAUACGUAUACAUGUAUAUACAAAUGUAUAUAUCAUUAGAAAGGUAUCGAUGAUGUGGUCAUUAUAAGACUAUUGUUGAGUAUUUUCGACAUUAGUUUAGUACAAAAAUCGUUAAAUCUAUUUAAAAUAGUACUAUGAAGGGGUGUUUAGUCGUUUAUAUAACUAUAAGGUCAUUAAGUAAUUAUGGAGGGUAGUUUUUGUAAAUUCAAUUACUAUAAAUAAGAGGCUUGGACUCUCAUAUUUCUUACACCAUUAUCUUGAUUCAAGAGUCUUUCUCUUCUUAUCCCCCAAGCAUUUCAGUCCCUCGUGAUUCGACUUCUCUUUCUGUAGUUUUAGUAUAGUAAGGUGAGCGCUGAAGCGCUGCACGAAUCUUUCUUAGAAAGAUUUAGCGCCGAAGUUCUGCCCCUGCAGAGCUCAACUCCUAGCUAAAACCCCCUUGCAGGUAAGUUAUGCUUACCCUAUUUUAAAUAUAGUUUAUAUUUAAAAUUAGUAUUGUCAUUAUGAACUUAUAAUAAAUAUUUGAGCUAUUAUUAUGACUUAUAUAAGUGUUGUUAUAAUAUCUUUUUAACUACUCGCGGUACGGGGAAUCUGGUUUAAAUGGCGACAUUGGGUUGUUGGAUUUCAGAAGUGUUAUAUGCCAAAAUGGUCCUGCCCUCCGGUGUUUUAUGUCUGGCCCCAAUCUGUACAUAAUGGUUGGAAAGUAUUGUUUAAACGCUUAUAUAAUAAUUAUUAAUAAUAAUAAUAAUAAUAAUAAUAAUAAUAAUAAUAAUAAUAAUAAUAAGGAUAAUAAUUAGUCACGGUAAAUAUUAGACUAAAAUCUAGUGGUAAUAAUACUAGGUUUCGUCGAAGAAAAGUAUUUUAAUGUAAACGAAGCGCUGUUCGAGUACCGAGUCACCACCUUAUCAAGUGAGUGCAUAGUUAUUUUCAUGUUACACAUAGAUAUGAAGUAUUUUAUAUAAAUUACAUGCUAUGUGUGCAUAUUGUCUGAAUACUUGCUGUCUGUGCUGGAUGAACGAUUUUAUACAUGCUUUUGAUGGGUUUUAGCCAUAAGAACAUCCUAUGUGCUCAUGCAAACCCUGAUGCUUGGAUCUAGGUUUCUCUAUUGUACAUGCAAUGUAUCCAAGACUUACAAUCUUAUAUCUAACAUAUUAUAAACUGAAAUUAGGGUUUAUAGAAAUACCUUUGAUUGUUAUGUAGCAGUAACAAUCUCAAUUCCUCCUUAUAAUGACUUCAGAAAGCUUAGAGUCACAAUUGUCACUCCUCUAAUGGCUCACAAACACCAAGAGCAAGAGGAUGAAGAAUAAGGAGAGUCGAGGCUACCCAAAACGUCCAGAAACCCUAAAGGAACUCUUAUCCAUUUUUUUGGGGUUUAAGGGUGCUAUAUAUACAUGUAGGCUAUUAGGGUUUUCAACUAGGAAACCCUAAUCUGACUACUUAAGCCCUAAGCAACCCAUGGAUUCCUUUAGUAUAUCCCUUGGACGAUUUCUAAUGGGCUUCCCCAUAGAAUUCGUCCAACCUAUAUAUUAUUAAGUAAUCCAUAGCCCAAUUGCAAUUAUCUUAUAAUUACAGUUCCAGUCCCUUAAGUUUAAUUAAUCUCUUUUAGCCACAAAAUUAAUUAUCAAUUAAUUCUUGACUAAUAUUAAUUAAACAAUAUGAUUUCUCCUUUAAUAUAUUAUUCUUAUAAUAUAUUAAUAAAUCAUAAUUAAUCUUUUCUCUCCAUAAUUCAUCCUAUCAAGUUGCUUUGGUGAAGGCAACCCAAAAGGACCAUGCACCAUCGGGUCAAGUACAUACCAAAAUAGUUAUGGACUUAGACACUAAUCCAACAGUCUCCCACUUGGAUAAGUCUAAUAACUAUUCUGCAUAUGACUUCAGAUCCUGAUUUGCAAUCGUAGCUUUCAAAAGCCGCUGUCAACUCUGAUCUUAUCAGAUACGCGUGUCGUUUAGAUAAGGAAUCAUAUAUUCGUCCAUUCUAGAUAUCGUAUAGAUAUAAGACAUGAAUUCUAAUCAUUCUCUCUAUACUAUUUCCCGACUGAAAACAGACUAUAAUUGAUCACAUCAAAUUAGUCCCGACUUGGCCAAGCGCGUAGGUGUCAUCACUAAAUCAUCGAGGGGUCCAAAGAUAUCGCUUUUAUCUUACUUUGGAUAAAAGGAACGGAUAAACUUUGACUCAAUGCUCGCUUGCACUCACUCACCGAAUCACACACAACAAUAUGUUUUAUAACACCAAGUUACUGGUGCGUUUACAUAUUAUCAAUGUGCAACCGACUCGCAAGAUACAACUCACACAUCUCGGUUUCAAGAAUAUACGAUAUUAUCGUCUCAUCAAUCACUCGUGAUAAAAUCCAUGAAGUGAUCCCAGUGAGCGUGGGUUUAAUCCAAUGCUCAAAUUGUAUUUAUAAGCACUAAUGAACGUUGCAGCAAACAUUUGCUUAUGUCUAAUACACUUUAGACACUCCACACACCAAUUCACGACAGUCUUCAUUCAUACAUACUUCCAACAUAUGAACGACUGUGGUCCGUUCGAAUAAUUCGAUUAUUCUGAAAUAAUUAAUUAUUCAGAAAGUCAAAACAUGCAAAGUGAAACACAAGAAUAAUACUAAUCCUAUAUGGUCCCAAACCCUUGAGUAUAAAUAAAACACCUUUUAUUUAUCACCAUAUCGAUUACUCAUUAUUUGUUGUUUCGAGUAAUCAACUUCUUACUUGAAUUUUUUUUACUACACUUGUCCCAUGCUCUUAGCAUGCACACAAUUUUUACCUAUGGUCCUUACUUUGUGAAAUAGAUCAAAUGAACACAUUUCCAAUCAUACUCAUUUCACAACUCUUAUCCUUAUCAUAAGUAUAAGAAUAUCAAUUCUUGUUACUUAUGCUAGAUUCUAACAUUUUAUGCAAUGAUUCUUUCGUAAAGUCAUAGAUCAAAAUCAUCAAGACUUGGCCAAUCUCUAUAAGUAACAAUUCUAUAGAUAUGAUGUCUCUCACUCAAAGUACAUUCCUUUGAACAUCCUUUCUUGCAUAAAAUUUUCUAAUCUAGACAUAGACUCUCAAUAUCCAACUCCCAAUAUGGAAACAUUUCCAUAUUUGCCAUAUGACAACUCAUUCUUAAUAGAAUCUUAUUUAUUCAUAAUAAUGUCGAUAUGGUCCAUCCAAUAUCAUACUUCCAACUACUCACAAGCGACCAAUCCUCAGCGAGCUCUGGAUCGUCCUUUGAUAGUUGUUUAAUUAUGUUAGUCAAAACUAAUUCUUGUCCUUUUUUUCCUCUAAAUGCGCUAGACAUUUGGAAAAUUUUAGAAUGGUCAAAGAUUAUAGCAUUUGCAAUCAAUCCUAUACCCGAAGCGUAUGGGACACGAUGCAUAAUGUCUUACAUGAAGAUAUGAUACUUUAUCAAUCUUCUGCCAUAAUAUUUAAUGUGUCACGUUCUCACAAUUCGAACUAUGAAGAGGGAUGCCAUAAUCAUAAUCGAAAUUUUGAGAACGCACUAUGUAUCCUUGAGUAAAUUUAUUAACAUUCCACAACCUAAGCCUUUAGAUUUGAAAUGAAGCAUAAUAUUCUCUCCCUUAAUUAUAGGAAAACAACUUUUCAACCCUUACGACUUUGCAAAGUAAAACUCUUGUUUUCUAUAAUUAAUAUUUCUAACUUGCAAUACUUGCCUUAAUAAUCAUACUAUCACAACAUUUAUUCUCCCACUAUCAUGAUGAUUAUUAUCAUAUAAGCAUAACACCUAUGCUCCCACUAGCUUUGACAUGUAUUCAGAAAACAACUGAACUUCCAGAAAAACAAUGCCUUUUGAAUUUCUUAAGUUCAUAUUUCUAAUACCUAAUGCUUUGAUAAUCCUUUAUCUAAGCUUAUACACCUUUGCCUUAGAUAGCUCAUAUGUGUGUCUAAACAAUUCAGACUAAUUGCCAAAUCUCAAAAUUCAAAUAAUGGAAAGGGAUACCGUAACCAUAAUCGAAUUCGAGAAUCCAAUUUUCACAAUCACUAUCUUUUUACAAUCUCUCUUAGUGAAAGCAUUUCCUCACAGUCAUUUUCAUGAAGGAGGAAAUCUUAUGACACUUAGAUUUUAAUGGUGUAUGUGUUGCUAUCCAUGCGAAUUUGUCAAAACCAAAGUUUGCGACAAAUACAAACUCAUGUGGACCGAACUCUUAAUCUUGAUUUCUUGCCUAAUGGUAACACAAGUGCCCACCAUGUCUUCCAAGCAGUUAAACAGCUCAUCCUUUCCAAUCAAUGUACUUUUCUUUGAUCAAGGCGCUUGCCUUUUAUGCAUUCAAAUGAGAACUCAUAGAACUCACAUGCAUAAUUAACUCAACUAGAAUGGCAUAGAAAGAAAAUAACGUCAACACGAUAGGUUAUAAACCUCAAGUUGUGUGCUAGUGAUGAUCGAUAAGGUUUAUUCUUGAUCUGUUCUUGAAACCUUUCAAGACCAUUAAGACUCCCACUGACUCCUUGACAUAUAAGAUUCUCUUGUCAAUAAACAUUUCUCGACAAACAAAUAUUCAAGAGUUAGUGUAGCUUUUAUCAAGACAAAACACUUCAUAAAAUUGGUCCUAGGUGGUCCUUGUCUUAUUCAAGACAUCACAAAUUUCCACAUUUGAUGAAUUUUAUAAAACUUCUUAAUACUUGUCACUCAAUGUCACAAUCCUAACUUUAAGACUUGUUUUGGAACGAAGUAUGGAUUGACUUCUUGAUUUAACCAUUUCUUCAAUUCUUGAUUCCUCUUCUCAGACAUACAAUUGUACUAAGACUCACUUAGAGGAUCAAUUGUGAUAUGGUUCUUAAUCAUUAAGACCUAUCAUAAAACAUAAUAAAAGGUACUCUCCCUUCUUCUUAGAAUAGAGAAACUUUUAUCUUUCUGCCUACUUGAUUCUUCUUAUUCGUUCUGCUAUUGAUUUAAACUCUUUCAAUCAAUUCGGAAUUACACUUAAUCUUAUAAGUAUAAUCAUAUUUACUAAACCUUUAGUAAAUCAUGACGAAUAUCUUUGUCACUCUUGUGGUGGACUUGAUCAACACACAACCUUGUGUACUUGAUCUCCUAGUCCUUCACUUGACACUUUGUCAACGAAUUAGUCUAAUUUCCAAAUAUGAAAUUUCUCAUUCAUCAUGCAACCAAGUUGCAUGAUUCCAAGUUUCUGUCCAAUUGAAACUUGGGCGAUGAGAAACUCUCCCUAUUUGGUAAAUUCUCGACAUUUCCACAAAUAACAUAAUUAAGAAUCAAAUCCAUUAUUGCUAAUAAUAGAAACAUUCAAACAUCAAUUUUUCAUACAUGCCAUUGCAAGGAUAAAUAAAUAAUAUAAAAUCAAAAUUUAUUUUAUUGCGGAAAAAUUUGUCAUUACAACGCAGUUCAACUGAAAAACUAUGUUGUUACAUAUUCCUAAGCAAUCUAUUCUAACUCCAAGUAGUAGCUUAAGAAUCUAAUCUUCAAGCAAUGCGAUCGAAAUCCAUUUCUUCACGAUUAGAUUCAGCUCACUUCUUCCCUUAAGCUUCCUUUCUUUUCUUCGAUCCUACAAAACAUCAAUUGUAAUCUUAUCACAUUAUGUAUUAAGAAUCUAGAAUAGAAGCUUAAAAGAGUUAGUCAAUGGAUUUUACCUAAAGCAGAGCCAUACGUUUUGACUCUCCCAUCUCUUAGAUCUCUUAGGUAAAUAGGGCAGCUUCGUCUCCAAUGCCCCUUCUCUUGGCAAUAAAAGCAAAUUGACUCUUUUGGAACAGGACAUGGAACUACUUCAGACAUUGCCUUUCUCUUAUGAUCAAACUUUUCGAUCAUAGCAUGUCUUUCGUUGCCAUUGUCUAUAUCCAUAGAGGUCUUGAAGGCAGAUUCACCAAUCAACUUUGCUUUUCUAUUGCGCCAAACCAUUGCUGAUUCAGCAGCAAUAAGCAUAUAGGUGAGAUCUAUAAGGGUCACGUCGCGGUUCAUCAUAUAGUACUCUCUUACGAACUCACUAUAUGAGUUAGGAAGUGACUGAAGAACCCAAUCAACAGCCAUUUCCUCACAGACAACGGAUCCCAACAUUCUUAACCUAUCAAUGUGUGACUUCAUCCCUAGGACGUGUGCACACACCGACUUUCCUUCUUUAUGUUUACUUGCCAAAAGGGCUUGAGUGAUCUUGAACUUUUCAAGCCUUUGAACUUGUGGGUUAGGGAGAAUAAUUGGAGGAGGAGGAGGAAGUGAAGCAUGAUUUCUUGUUCCUCGAUCGAAUCGUGGAAUAUCAUCUUCAUGUGGAAUGCUUGUUCCACGGGAUUUGGGAAGACCAUAGUUGUCGAACUUUGACAUCUACAAAACGGGAGAAAACGAAUUCAAGUUAGUUGAUUGAUUGAGUCCUUAGUAAAUCACCCAAAUGAGAUACUAAGGCUAGGACCCAACACAAUACGCUACAACCUAGAAAAGGGAUGCCGUAAUCUAAUUGCAGAAUAUUUGAAGGUAAGUGAAUGACGAUUCACUAAUUUCCACCAUGAAAAACGAAAAAGAAAUUUAAGUUUUAAAUCUAUGAAAACUCCUAGAUCCUUUGAGAUUCAUUGAACUUUCAAUGGCAUGUUUAAAUCUCGAUAUGCCCCUCUUGUUUGUGACUGGGAUGCCGAGGAUCACAAAGCGGGUGUGAAUAACCAUGCAAACUUACAUGGUGCCCUCACAUGUUACAGUCACCUAUUCGAUGUGCCGGUAAACCACACACGCUCCACCGAACUAUGACAAACAUUGAGUCACCCUUUGCUACCUUUGCUUAGAACCAUUUAGUGUGCCGGUUAACCACACACGCUCCACUAACGUCUUCGCAAGGGCACAAAGUGUAAUUUCAUGGAAUUGCAUCAAUUCACUUUUGCCUAAAGUAACUAAGAUUGGGAAUUUUGUAAAAGCAUUUAGUUACUUUUGUACUUCAUUAUACUUAUAAUGGAAGGUUUCUGUCCUAUCCUACCCGUUCGGCUAACGACCCUCCACUAGUCAAGAGUGCGGUGGGUAAGAGUGGAUACCCAUUCAAUCGCCAUUUUAUAGGCAAUUUCCUUAAACACCCCUUAUAGACCAGCUUCGUGAAUGAGGCCUACUAACGGUAAGACUGAUUUUUACUCAUACAUAUAUAUAAUAUUAGACUUUUAAUGUUAUAUAUAGUAUAGGGUGUAUUUUACACUUUUAAAAUACUAGGUGGUCUAAUUUAAUAAAUUAUACUUUUAAUUUAAUUAAAUGUAAACCAAAACUUUAUGGGUUUAUUAAAUCUCCUUUAAUUAUACACUUUAAUUAAUUAAUAAAACCAUAAGGGUGUGAUUUGAACUUUUCAAAACAAUACUAGGGUUUUAGAAUUUAACAUUUCUAAAUUAAACUUUUAAUCAACUUUUAAAUUCCAAAACUUGAGGGCAAGUUUUGAAACAUUUCAAAACAUUAGGGUUUCAACUAUUUAAAUUUCAAAACAAAACCUUUAAGUUCAAAUUUAAACCAUAAAACUUACAUGGGCACAAAUGAAACUUUUUCACAACACAAGGAUCAAAUAACAAAUAAUAGAAAUUAAACAAUUAAUUUUGUCAUUAUCUAUAUUUGACCUAAUUUCAAUUUCUUGCAAGAUAAAUUACCCAAUUAAUACAAAUAAUCAAUCUUUAAUCAUAUAAGGAAGUUAUUAUCUAAUCAAUUGGUAAUUAUCUUGUGUUUUGGCAAGGAUAAUCUUUUAGAAACAUAAAAAAAUCGUAUGCAAAACAACAAGAAAAUCCGAAAUUCCCUAUGUCUGAUGCUCCGACUCGCCGAGUCACACAUUGGAACUCGCCGAGUAGGGCAGACUCGCCGAGUCCAUGUAGUGACUCGUCGAGUCAGUUCGAACAGAAGGCUAGAAUUCGAUUUUCAGUAAAUAAUUCAACAUAGCAUCACAUACAACAUAAACCAAUCAAGGCUCUGAUACCACUGAUGGGUUUUAGCCAUAAGAACAUCCUAUGUGCUCAUGCAAACCCUAAUGCUUGGAUCUAGGUUUCUCUAUUGUACAUGCAAUGUAUCCAAGACUUACAAUCUUAGAUCUAACAUAUUAUAAACUGAAAUUAGGGUUUAGAGAAUUACCUUUGAUUGUUAUGUAGCAAUAACAAUCUCAAUUCCUCCUUAUAAUGACUUCAGAAAGCUUAGAGUCACAAUUGUCACUCCUCUAAUGGCUCACAAACACCAAGAGCAAGAGGAUGAAGAAUAAGGAGAGUGGAGGCUGCCCAAAAUGUCCAUAAACCCUAAAGGAACUCUUAUCCACGUUUUUGGGGCUUAAGGGUGCUAUAUAUACAUGUAGGCUAUUAGGGUUUUCAACUAGCAAACCCUAAUCUGACUGCUUAAGCCCUAAGCAGCCCAUGGAUUCCUUUAGUAUAUCCCUUGGAUGAUUGCUAAUCUGACUGCUUAAGCCUUAAGCAGCCCAUGGAUUCCUUUAGUAUAUCCCUUAAGACCUAGUACCGUAUAGAUGAGCACUGGCAGCUGCGCCAAAAUCUGUAGAUGUUUUAGAAUUACGAGAAACAUCCUAACAGCUACGCUCUAAGGAUAAUAUCGGCAAUUGUGCCUAAUAUAGAACCUUAUAACCAUGACAGUAGCGUCUAAAGGAUAAUACCAGCAGAAGCACCUCACAUAGAUUGUCAUAAUUCUGGCAGUUGUGCCUAAGUGAUAGAACUAGCAGUUGUGCUUGACAGCAGUGUCAUUGAAAUCAACGAGAACCUCAACUUCAUGGAAGAAUCGGUUGAAAUCAUGGACAGAGAGAUCAAACGAACGAAAUAAAGUCACAUCCCGAUAGUGAAGGUUCGCUGGAAUGCCAAGCGGGGACCCGAAUUCACUUGGGAGCGCGAAGAUCAGAUGAAACAGAAACAUCCGCAUCUCUUUCCAAAUCAAUGAUUUGUAUUCUGUGUUCGAAUUUCGGGACGAAAUUCCCUCUAAAGGGCGGAUGAUGUGACAACCCAAAAUUUCUUCCAUUCAAACCGUUAAAAAAAUAAAUCAAUUCGAAAUUUAUUUCUGCUCUUGUCAGCAUUAUUUUGGGUCUAAUUAAUUAUUUUAAGCUCAAUACAAUCAAGGAGAACGAGUUUUUCCAAGUCAUAUUGUAGCAUUCGAGCUGAACACCCCUUCAAGAGGAGUGUACGGCCGCAAACUCGAGUUUACGGCCGUACGCCCCCCACCCAACCCCUUGGCCGAAAACUCUACCCUAUAAAUAGGGUACUAAGUCUUCAUUUCAAACUUUACCCACUCUAAAGACUUUCUCUCUCUACUCUCUCUCUACCAUCGAACUCUCUCCAAGAUCUUCAAGAUGUAAGUGUUUUUCCAUCUUGAUUGUUGUUGCAAAUCCUUAUUCUAGUGAUAAAUCCAUGUAUCAUCUCAUAAAUUUCAUCAUUUGCUAGAUCUUCUCUCUCACCAAGAACACCAAGAGCACACCAGUUCUUGGUGGCUAAAAACCUCAUUCCAAGCUUCCUAGUAGUAAGUAACUACCUCCUAUGCUUGAUAUCUACUAGAAAAUUUUGAUUUUUCACCUAGAAAUCGACCCAAAAACAUGAGCAUGAAAGGUUUACGGCCGUAAACCCUGUGUACAGCCGUACACCCCUCAUUGGCCAUAAACCCUAGUAUUUAGUCAAGGAUUGACCUUAAACACCCCCUUUAGCGAUGCAUGGGACUUAGAACACUUCCAAGAGGCUAGAAAGGACCUAGAAACACCACGAAUCGCACUUUUCAUCAAGUGUUUACGGCAAUAAACUCCUGGGCCGUAAACCCAUAGGCCGUAAACCCAUGGACCACAAACACCUGGGCCGCAAACUCUUGGGCCGAAAACUGUGUUGGGCCGCAAACCCAUGACCGUACACCCCUUUUACAACCGCAAACUCCCCAUCUUCAAUCACGUGUGAUUCUAACACAUAGUUUCAAGUGUUUCCUAGUCUAUAAGGUGGUUUCCCUUCCAUAACAAAUAGUGUUACACCCUAACCUAAUACAUAUAUGUGCUUCUAUAUGUUAAAUAGGAUCCGUUUGUGUCUGAGGCUCCAUUUGACACUCAACAUUCCUAUCGACUUACAUACCAAUUCCACGACAAAUAGUGAGUUCAUACCCCUACGCUUUUAUGGUUUUUAAAUGUUCUCAGGGGGGAAUACAAGCCAAUAAAGGUUUUCAAUGGAUUAAAACUUAUGCAAAUUACACAAAUCAACGGUUUCAUAAAGCACUUAGAUUCUUUAACCCUUUUGUAUUAUGCGGACCAUAAGGGAUGUUUUCGAAAUUUAGUUGCAUAAGUUUUCAGAACACUUUCACAAACAUAACAGUCAAUCUAUAAUAGGUAUAGUUUGGGGAAUUUCCUUACCGAUUUCACAGAUACGAACUACAUACACGGUUGAAUACAUAAACUAUGAUAGAUUUAGUUUAUAACACACAUUGCUACUGAAGUACAAUAAUUAAUAAUUAUUUAAGUAUAAUUAUUUGUACUCUACAAAAACAUACAUCGGAUUUUCAUACGAAAGGACAGAACACUUAUAUAUUAUUGCUCGUAAAGUUGUCAACUUAAUUGGGAGACACGUCCUUGGUCGCUUACAACAUUAACUAAGUGGAGGACUACCCUUAUGAACCAGAAUUUCCAGGAGGGAAUGUGUGGCUUUUGUGUAUAGAUCUAUACGGGACUGAAUAUCCCGCACCUGGCUGCUAGCUAAAGUCGGACCGGAAGGUCUACGGGUGACAAAUGUCAUAGAGGAUAUCGACGUCCGUUUCCUGUCGUAUCAAGUAUAAGUAUGGUCAUAAAACUCGCCAAUCGUACGACUCUUUUACGUAAUAAUAUACCUCUUAUAAACAAUUGCUUUAAUAACAUAAGUGUGAUACUUAUGCCUUACAGUUUCAAAACUAUUAAAGCAACAAACACAUGCAUACCAGGGAAAAUAAGGGAUUUUCCUAGACAAACGGAACAUACUUUAUAUACUGGUGGUAGCUAGGGAUUUUAAACGGAAUACUUUACAUACUGGUGGUAGCCAGGGUUUUUAAACGGAACACUUUACAUAGUGGUGGUAGCCAGGGUUUUCAAAUUGAAUACUUUACAUGCUGGUGGUAACCAGGAUUUUCAAACGGAAUACAUUUUACAUACUGGCAGUAACCAGGGUUUCAAUACAAAUGAUAUUUUACAUAUAAUCAAAAUAAAUCAUUUAUACAAAUUCAGCGACUAGUUUUCAUUACAAAAAUAUGCUUAUGAACUCACCAGCUUUAUGCUGAUACGUUUUCAAAACCGCUUGUAUUCUCAGGAUACAAUAGACAGGUAGCGUUGUCAGCUUUUGGAGAAGACAGAGCAUUUUAGGGUCUCGUCUUUUACUUUUGUCUCAUUUUGAUGUAUACAAACUAUGUUUUCAAAUAGAUGUAAAUAUUCAUAUUAUAAUGUAAUUGUUGUGUUUACUUUGAUUACUAUGAUGCAAUUGUUGUGAUACUACGCAUGACGUCAUCCACCCCCGGACGUUUCCGCCGUUUGUUUUCACGGUUCGGGGUGUGACAUACUGGGACCUAGGACUACGCGCGGCGUACACUAGGUUACACCCAUCAUACAACUAGUUUGAGCACUUUCUACAUUAAGUGCUUAAUAUUCGUUUCCAUAACAUCCAAAAGCCAGAUCUAAGUCUGUAAAGAUGUCCUAAGGCAUAAAGUUGGCAACUUUAUGCCUUUGCAUGUCUCAUACACACCCAACUUCUCCAUUAAUACCUUUCUAAGGUCUUUAACCCAUGCAUAAGGCUAGAUCUCCCAUCAAGCUUCCAUUUUUAUGAUACAGAAGGACCAAGGGACCUCAGAUCUCCCCUUCCCAUCUCCUGGAGUUUCUUACCUCAAGAAGCUUUUCAAGAUGACUAUGAUGCGGGAUCUUGAAGCACCAACUCGUUCCAAGCUUGAAUAACCUCCUCUUCUUCUUGGAAUGAACACUAAAGUAGUUGAAAUGCAUAAGACAUACAGUCUAACAUAUCUGGGUACUAACUACCCCUUCGGUCCUUUCGAUCGGUAACUUGCCUAGCAUAUCAGGGUGCUGGCCUACCCCUUAAGCCCUAUUGACUGGUAACUUGCCUAGCAUAUCAGGGUGUUGGUCUACCCCUUCGGCCCUAUCGACCGGUAACUUGCCUAGCAUAUCAGGGUGCUGGCCUACCCCUUCGGCCCUGUGGAUCGGUACCGGGGACUAUUUCACCCCUACUUCUAUCACAUAGCAACCUAGUGCAUAAAAAUGUAAGUCAUAUAUUGUCUAGCUUAUCCAGGUGCUAACAUACCCUUUCAGGCCCUAUCGACCGGUACUGGGGUCUAUCCUACCCCUCCUACCAUUAUCACAUAGCAUCAUAGCAUACUAACACAUAACAUAUAACAUACCAUAUAAUUAUCACAAAGACAAUUAUCUCUAUUAAAGCUCUUAAUAGUGGGCUGACAUUUGUGCCUUCGGCCCACUUCUACUGGAAGGUAACUCACCUUAAUAUUGCGUAGUGUCCGAACUGUCCUUAGUGCUGGGAUGGACUCCUAUCAAACUCCUACGCAUAACAACCUAUUUUCAAUUAACCUUCCAUACUUAUAACCCAUUCGAGGGUCAACUCAGAUCGAAGUCAAAGUUAAGGUCAACACCCUAGUCAAAGUCAACACUCUGGUCGACUCAACUCGCCGAGUUGGUCCAUCAACUCGUCAAGUUCCAUAUAUCAGAAAUCUCUGAAGUGGCGAUCCAACUCGAUGAGUUCUUCCACAACUUGUCGCGUUCCUCCUUUUAAUAGUAUUGGGACUUUUCCAUUCAGCUUGUCGAGUCCUUCCUUGGGCUCGUCGGGUCCUUCUUUUACAGAAUCGGGACAUUUGCUCAUAACUCGCCGAGUUCCUCGUUGGAAUCGUCGAGUUCUUCAAUCUUUCCAUCUAAAAACUUUGUCCAACUUGCUGAGUCGUCUCUUAGACUUAACGAGUUCACUCAGAACCAGAAAAGUCUGGGAACCACGCCUCGACUCGCCGAGUUGCAUGAACAACUCGUCGAGUCCCCUAUAUGCCAAAUCCAUACAGUCGAUUUUUGUUUAGUUUAUAACACACAUUGCUACUGAAGUACAAUAAUUAAUAAUUAUUUAAGUAUAAUUAUUUGUACUCUACAAAAACAUACAUCGGAUUUUCAUACGAAAGGACAGAACACUUAUAUAUUAUUGCUCGUAAAGUCGUCAACUUAAUUGGGAGACACGUCCUUGGUCGCUUACAACAUUAACUAAGUGGAGGACUACCCUUAUGAACCAGAAUUUCCAGGAGGGAAAGUGUGGCUUUUGUGUAUAGAUCUAUACGGGACUGAAUAUCCCGCACCUGGCUGCUAGCUAAAGUCGGACCGGAAGGUCUACGGGUGACAAAUGUCAUAGAGGAUAUCGACGUCCGUUUCCUGUCGUAUCAAGUAUAAGUAUGGUCAUAAAACUCGCCAAUCGUACGACUCUUUUACGUAAUAAUAUACCUCUUAUAAACAAUUGCUUUAAUAACAUAAGUGUGAUACUUAUGCCUUACAGUUUCAAAACUAUUAAAGCAACAAACACAUGCAUACCAGGGAAAAUAAGGGAUUUUCCCAGACAAACGGAACAUACUUUAUAUACUGGUGGUAGCUAGGGAUUUUAAACGGAAUACUUUACAUAUUGGUGGUAGCCAGGGUUUUUAAACGGAACACUUUACAUACUGGUGGUAGCCAGGGUUUUCAAAUGGAAUACUUUACAUGCUGGUGGUAACCAGGAUUUUGAAACGGAAUACAUUUUACAUACUGGCAGUAACCAGGGUUUCGAUACAAACGAUAUUUUACAUAUAAUGAAAAUAAAUCAUUUAUACAAAUUCAGCGACUAGUUUUCAUUACAAAAAUAUGCUUAUGAACUCACCAGCUUUAUGCUGAUACGUUUUUAAAACCGCUUGUAUUCUCAGGAUACAAUAGACAGGUAGCGUUGCCAGCUUUUGGAGAAGACAAAGCAUUUUGGGGUCCCGUCUUUUACUUUUGUCUCAUUUUGAUGUAUACAAACUAUGUUUUUAAAUAGAUGUAAAUAUUCAUAUUAUAAUGUAAUUGUUGUGUUUACUUUGAUUACUAUGAUGCAAUUGUUGUGAUACUACGCAUGACGUCAUCCACCGCCGGACGUUUCCGCCGUUUGUUUUCACGGUUCGGGGUGUGACAUACUGGGACCUAGGACUACGCGCGGCGUACACUAGGUUACACCUAUCAUACAACUAGUUUGAGCACUUUCUACAUUAAGUGCUUAAUAUUCGUUUCCUUUACGUCCAAAAGCCAGAUCUAAGUCUGUAAAGAUGUCCUAAGGCAUAAAGUUGGCAACUUUAUGCCUUUGCAUGUCUCAUACACACCCAACUUCUCCAUUAAUACCUUUCUAAGGUCUUUAACCCAUGCAUAAGGCUAGAUCUCCCAUCAAGCUUCCAUUUUUAUGAUACAGAAGGACCAAGGGACCUCAGAUCUCCCCUUCCCAUCUCCUGGAGUUUCUUACCUCAAGAAGCUUUUCAAGAUGACUAUGAUGCGGGAUCUUGAAGCACCAACUCGUUCCAAGCUUGAAUAACCUCCUCUUCUUCUUGGAAUGAACACUAAAGUAGUUGAAAUGCAUCAGACAUACAGUCUAACAUAUCUAGGUACUAACUACCCCUUCGGUCCUUUCGAUCGGUAACUUGCCUAGCAUAUCAGGGUGCUGGCCUACCCCGUCAGCCCUGUUGACUGAUAACUUACCUAGCAUAUCAGGGUGUUGGUCUACCCCUGUGACAACCCGAUAUUUCGAGUCAAUGUAAUGUAAAACCGANNNNNNNNNNNNNNNNNNNNNNNNNNNNNNNNNNNNNNNNNNNNNNNNNNNNNNNNNNNNNNNNNNNNNNNNNNNNNNNNNNNNNNNNNNNNNNNNNNNNNNNNNNNNNNNNNNNNNNNNNNNNNNNNNNNNNNNNNNNNNNNNNNNNNNNNNNNNNNNNNNNNNNNNNNNNNNNNNNNNNNNNNNNNNNNNNNNNNNNNNNNNNNNNNNNNNNNNNNNNNNNNNNNNNNNNNNNNNNNNNNNNNNNNNNNNNNNNNNNNNNNNNNNNNNNNNNNNNNNNNNNNNNNNNNNNNNNNNNNNNNNNNNNNNNNNNNNNNNNNNNNNNNNNNNNNNNNNNNNNNNNNNNNNNNNNNNNNNNNNNNNNNNNNNNNNNNNNNNNNNNNNNNNNNNNNNNNNNNNNNNNNNNNNNNNNNNNNNNNNNNNNNNNNNNNNNNNNNNNNNNNNNNNNNNNNNNNNNNNNNNNNNNNNNNNNNNNNNNNNNNNNNNNNNNNNNNNNNNNNNNNNNNNNNNNNNNNNNNNNNNNNNNNNNNNNNNNNNNNNNNNNNNNNNNNNNNNNNNNNNNNNNNNNNNNNNNNNNNNNNNNNNNNNNNNNNNNNNNNNNNNNNNNNNNNNNNNNNNNNNNNNNNNNNNNNNNNNNNNNNNNNNNNNNNNNNNNNNNNNNNNNNNNNNNNNNNNNNNNNNNNNNNNNNNNNNNNNNNNNNNNNNNNNNNNNNNNNNNNNNNNNNNNNNNNNNNNNNNNNNNNNNNNNNNNNNNNNNNNNNNNNNNNNNNNNNNNNNNNNNNNNNNNNNNNNNNNNNNNNNNNNNNNNNNNNNNNNNNNNNNNNNNNNNNNNNNNNNNNNNNNNNNNNNNNNNNNNNNNNNNNNNNNNNNNNNNNNNNNNNNNNNNNNNNNNNNNNNNNNNNNNNNNNNNNNNNNNNNNNNNNNNNNNNNNNNNNNNNNNNNNNNNNNNNNNNNNNNNNNNNNNNNNNNNNNNNNNNNNNNNNNNNNNNNNNNNNNNNNNGACUGUACCCCUGAUCAUCAUUCUCAAUAACUGAGAAUUACCCAAUAUACAACUCUGCUCCAAACCUCAGCAAUCACUCGACCCAUAAGGGUUAGAAAUCCAUGAACCAUCGGAUCCCCGAUCCGAAUCCCACUCUAUCCAUUCCGGGACGACUAAGAGAGCCAUUCUCAAUCUCAGAGCAACUCUCACGAGUUCUCCCCUUGCAACCGCAUACACAUGCUGAACUAGCUCUAACACCCUCAGGUUGGGAAAAUCUGAUANCACAUGCUGACUAGCUCUAACACCCUCAGGUUGGGAAAAUCUGAUACACUGAUAAUACCCUCAAACAUCCACCAGGAUGAACCACUAAUAAACACCCCAUACCCUGAUCAGAAUCACACUGAGAGUUCAAGACUCUCUCUCCCCCUGCAUCCCUUCCGAGCCUCUUGGCUCUACACAUGCGGGUUUCCGUCCGCGACCUCAGCAGACAUUCCAAACCGGAUGAGCUUCUAAUCCACUGCCGCAAACACACUAUUCAAUAACCAUACUCGAAUUGCUUUAAUCAUAACUCUGCUCUGCCGCUUUCACUUCCGUGAAGUUGCACUCCCUCUCGGAGUUACACGCCUCUUACCUCUUUCUCUUCCUUUACCAAGGAAUCCACCCGACCAUAAUGUCACUCCGACAAAUACCACGGUGCUCGCCCUACGCUACACCACCCUUAGCGUGUCUGCUAUCCAUCCAACACACUUACUCUGACUCUCCUCGUAGGGACUCUCAAGCCCAUGCACUACCUCAACUAAACAAGAUCACUAUUCGGGGCCAGACCUUCCAAUGCAAUCACACUGCAACAUACACAAUCCGCAAUCUCAAACUGAUCCAACAAUACCAGCAGAGUCUCCAGCAUGACUGGACCGACUCACAUAACACAUAUUAGCCACUCAAGGCUAUAUCUCUGUGGGUCCGUACACCCAAACUCUGUGAACCCUCAGGUUCUAACUCUGGGAACCUUCCGGUUCCAACUCUAUAAACAUGCACAGCAUAAAUCCCAUAGAAUUAAUGCAGUACAACACAUCACGUACAUAAAGCAUACAAAUACUCUGAUCACAUAACCUCGGUUACCUACUCAAACUUGAUCCCGGCCUGCUUCUAGGCCUCCACAAUCAAAUGCCCUAGGUCUGUAUCCCGCCCCGCAUGCCCGACACUCGCUCCUAUCAGCCUAUACUCUAGGCUGACAGAACACUGCUGAAUCCCAACAGCUAAGCACCCUCAAAUACUCAUCGAUCUCCCGGAGAAUUCUCCAAUUCUCCCCCACUUAAAGCACUGACUAACAACCACCGGUCGCCAUUAACGACCUUCCAGAACAACCCCACACAAAGAGAACACUUACACACUGACUGCUUCCCACAAAAAUAAGCAACCCUCAGCAAAACACAUCUCCUCACUGAUCAAUCUGCUCAGAAAGAAUCCGAUCUCCAAUUAUCCCUUCCACGAAUGUAGAUGCUACCCGACAAUCAACCCAAUGCCGCAUCUCCACUAAUAACCCUCACGAAUGAUAACUAACGAUAGAACAAAACACCAAACUAUAAUCAUACCAAACCCUCAGGGAACAACGGAUACCAAGACGAAAACCCGAAACACGAAUCCAUAACCAUGCCAAACCCGCAAAACGACGAAUACCGCAUCGAAAUCCACACAAAGAUACCAGCACAAACAAUACACCGCAAUAAUCGCAAGAUAACAAGACAUCAAGAAAGAAACAUACCCGCAGCUGCAUCGGACACUACUCUAACCUCCUCUGCCGCAAGCUGAUAAGCGCGACCCUGAGCCCCUAGGGGCUCCGCUCCACCCUGACCUCCACCUGAAAUCCUCAAAGUGGCCGGUGCUGGAGCCUGCACCGGUCCUGCAGAAAGUUGUGGACAGUUGACCCUCAAAUGUCCAACCUGACGACAAUGAUAACAAAUCCUCAAAUCCCGAAUCGGCACCGAUUGCCAACAAUCCCGCGCAUAGUGCCCCUCCUUUCCGCACUUGCGGCAUGCACCACCGGACCAACAAACUCCGGUGUGACCCCUCCCACACUUCCUACAAGUGUGGCCGCUCCGAUCCCCCUCUCUAACAUCAACGGUCCUGGACCGUUUCGGCGCCGGCUGCGACUGCAUCGGAGCCUGCCUCAGCUCACACAACUACAACUCAACCUCUAACUCACGCCGCCUGGCGGCCUCCUGCAACUCCAACAAGGUCUCGCACCUCUGCGCAGACACGAACUGUCUGAUAUCCCCCUUGAGCAUACUCAGAUAUCGGGACAUCUGAGCCUGCUCCGAAGCGAACUCAGGGCAAAGCAUCGCCCUCUCAGUGAACAUCCUGGUGAUCUCAGUCACCGACUCCGAAUCCUGCUUCAGCUCAAGGAACUCCUGAGCCAAUCUCUCCCUCUCAUCCUGCGGAACAUAGCGAGUGCUGAACAUCUCUCUGAAUUGACCCCAUGAAACCGCAGCCCUCUGCGCAUCCGAGUAUGACCCCGUGGUCAAUCUCCACCAAUCCUUCGCCCCGAGCCUCAACAGGUUCAGAGCACACCUCACCCUCAGAUCAGCAGGGCAUGAACACAUGAAGAAACACCCUUCCACGUCCGUUAACCACCUCAUAGCAACCAUCGGGUCCUGAACUCCAUCGAAGGUGGGAGGCUCCGCAUCAUCGAAGUCCCGAUACUGACAAUCCCUAUCAGCUCCUCCCUCUGCCGUUGCUACAGCCACUAUAGCUGCCGUGGCAGCCGUCUCCGCAAGAGUCGCAUAAUGCUCAUCAAAAUACUCAACCAUGGCGGUCUUGAUCGACCCAAACAGUUCCGGAAACUCAGCCCGGAACAAUGCAGCAACCUCAUCAUGCAGGAUCUCGUGAAUCCUCGCAUCUAACUCGCUCGUGCUCAUCUGAUCGAUAACCUCAGACGGCACCGAUCCACCCGGAACUCUCUCUCCAGCUCCCGAUCCUGAUCCGGAUCCACUCUCAUCAUGCCUCGGAAUCUCCAUACUGAAAAACACCAUACCAAAACUCAGACUCAUCCCACAAACCUGGGAUCCAACUCUCUCAACCCACCCUAGAGAUCAUGGUUUCCCUGAUACGCAUAUGGGUCCUGUGCUUUCAGUAGUACGGGCACAUACUACCUUCCACACCUACCCAUAUUUGUAUGAAGUACUACCACAAUACCCUAGAGAACAUGCAUAACAACGAUCAACCCUCACCACCAGAGGAACACUGAGAAUCUCCCAUAAGGGUCCCUAGGCUACAGGCAUCACAAAUCAGGCAACAUUAUCAUGAAAUCCUGAAGAUCCCUAGCCUAACUCUAGCAUGGUGUUCUAUCAAAGCUCAAUAAAACAAGUGUCACGAAUGGUAAAUUUGGGGUUACUUACUGGCUCCAGCUGAUCAUACCUCCGCGUCCCCCUUUUACUUAAUUUGAAAACCAUUUUAAUUUCUCUUUUAAAACCUUCCUCGAUUUGAGACUGGAGUUACACGAGUGUUCCUCCAAUUCACUCAAACCAAGGCUCUGAUACCAACUUGUAACGACCAAAAUUGCAAAACAAUUAAAACUUUUCAAAAACCACCCAUUUUAAUAACGUUGUUACAAAAAGGUUUUCAAUACAUUAUUUAACAGAGUAUUCUUCCUAGGUUCAAAUCAUAAAACACCAACACGGGGAACGGUACGAUCACGCCUUUGCCUUGCCACAGACUCCUGAGAACCUGAAAACAUAAAACCACAACUGUAAGCCCGAAAGCUUAGUGAGAUACCCCCAAAAAUACCAACCACAAAUGCGCCUUUCCAGGCCACGACCUUCUGGUCCAAUACAUAUUGCCUUCCGGCCCAUAGCAUAUUGCCUUCCGGCCCAUAACAUAUUGCCUUCCGGCCCAUAACAUAUCGCCUUCCGGCCCAUAACAUAAAAUGCCCACAUAACAGAUCAUAGAACAGCCAUACAUAUCAGGUCAAACCCUAGACCAAGCAACUGUGCACAUAACAUAUAAUCAUACAACAGAUCACAGUCAGCAAAUCGAUCAACAGAUCACAUAACAUAUCAUUACCCUAACCAAGAUACCUGCCUAACCGGUCACUAGCAUAAUAUCGCCCUACGAAUCAGUCAACAUACUAAUUACACACAUACGCUUUUCUAGGCCAUGACCUUCCGGUCCGUAUCGCAAUGCCUUCCGGCCCACAACAUGUAAUGCCUUCCGGCCCACUACAUAUAAUGCCUUCCGGCCUAUAUUCCGCAAUAUCAUAACAACAGACAUUACCCGGAUUUCCAUCCGAGAAAGGGUCGGCCUUGGUGCCUUAAACCCUAUUGAUAUAGUGAGGAUAACUCACCUCGAAACUGCCGACUGAACAGAUAACCCAAGCUGCUCCGAUCACUGAUACUAUCUCCACCUCUGGACAGCCACCAAUGCACUGAACUCAAACAAUAAUCAACAAUUACCAAAAUACCCCUGGAAACCACUGGUCAACCCUUGGUCAAAGACAAGGUCAAAGUCAACCCCUGACUGACCCUACUCGCCGAGUCAACCCGAUGACUCGCCGAGUUCCCAUACUCAGAACUUCACUCAAUCCGCGACCUAACUCGUCGAGUCACCCCGAGACUCGCCGAGUCCCACAACUUCUGAGUCCUCUCGCACACAACUCACCGAGUCAUCCCUUGACUCACCGAUUCUCGACUCAACCAGAGAAUAUCGGAACUCUUCGACAAGACUCGCCGAGUCCAAGAACAGACUCGCCGAGUCUAUGGCUGUCUUCAACCUACUCGCCGAGUUGUUCAUACAACUCGCCGAGUUCCAGGCCAUCUUCAUCCAACUCGCCGAGUUGUUCUUCCAACUCGCCGAGUCCCAGCUCAUCUUCAAACAACUCGUCGAGUACACCCAUGUGACUCGCCGAGUACCACCGGUCUGAAUCCAUACAGAAGCACUCCAAGCCAUGCAAUUGAUCCAAAACAUAGAUCUAUCUUCCUACAACCCCUUCAUCACGUAAAGUGGCAAACUUUACGUGAAUCCAAAGAGAUCUAGGCUUUUUNGAUUUGAGACUGGAGUUACACGAGUGUUCCUCCAAUUCACUCAAACCAAGGCUCUGAUACCAACUUGUAACGACCAAAAUUGCAAAACAAUUAAAAAUUUUCAAAAACCACCCAUUUUAAUAACGUUGUUACAAAAAGGUUUUCAACACAUUAUUUAAUAGAGUAUUCUUCCUAGGUUCAAAUCAUAAAACACCAACACGGGGAACGGUACGAUCACGCCUUUGCCUUGCCACAGACUCCUGAGAACCUGAAAACAUAAAACCACAACUGUAAGCCCGAAAGCUUAGUGAGAUACCCCCAAAAAUACCAACCACAAAUGCGCCUUUCCAGGCCACGACCUUCUGGUCCAAUACAUAUUGCCUUCCGGCCCAUAGCAUAUUGCCUUCCGGCCCAUAACAUAUUGCCUUCCGGCCCAUAACAUAUCGCCUUCCGGCCCAUAACAUAAAAUGCCCACAUAACAGAUCAUAGAACAGCCAUACAUAUCAGGUCAAACCCUAGACCAAGCAACUGUGCACAUAACAUAUAAUCAUACAACAGAUCACAGUCAGCAAAUCGAUCAACAGAUCACAUAACAUAUCAUUACCCUAACCAAGAUACCUGCCUAACCGGUCACUAGCAUAAUAUCGCCCUACGAAUCAGUCAACAUACUAAUUACACACAUACGCUUUUCUAGGCCAUGACCUUCCGGUCCGUAUCGCAAUGCCUUCCGGCCCACAACAUGUAAUGCCUUCCGGCCCACUACAUAUAAUGCCUUCCGGCCUAUAUUCCGCAAUAUCAUAACAACAGACAUUACCCGGAUUUCCAUCCGAGAAAGGGUCGGCCUUGGUGCCUUAAACCCUAUUGAUAUAGUGAGGAUAACUCACCUCGAAACUGCCGACUGAACAGAUAACCCAAGCUGCUCCGAUCACUGAUACUAUCUCCACCUCUGGACAGCCACCAAUGCACUGAACUCAAACAAUAGUCCAAAAUUACAAAAAUACCCCUGGAAACCACUGGUCAACCCUUGGUCAAAGACAAGGUCAAAGUCAACCCCUGACUGACCCUACUUGCCGAGUCAACCCGAUGACUCGCCGAGUUCCCAUACUCAGAACUUCACUCAAUCCGCGACCUAACUCGUCGAGUCACCCCGAGACUCGCCGAGUCCCACAACUUCUGAGUCCUCUUGCACACAACUCACCGAGUCAUCCCUUGACUCACCGAUUCUCGACUCAACCAGAGAAUAUCGGAACUCUUCGACAAGACUCGCCGAGUCCAAGAACAGACUCGCCGAGUCUAUGGCUAUCUUCAACCUACUCGCCGAGUUGUUCAUACAACUCGCCGAGUUCCAGGCCAUCUUCAUCCAACUCGCCGAGUUGUUCUUCCAACUCGCCGAGUCCCAGCUCAUCUUCAAACAACUCGUCGAGUACACCCAUGUGACUCGCCGAGUACCACCGGUCUGAAUCCAUACAGAAGCACUCCAAGCCAUGCAAUUGAUCCAAAACAUAGAUCUAUCUUCCUACAACCCCUUCAUCACGUAAAGUGGCAAACUUUACGUGAAUCCAAAGAGAUCUAGGCUUUUUGCACUUUGGUUUAGGGUUUGGGACAUGUAAGCUUCACUAAACACUCCAACAUAGGGACUUUCAUGCUCUCUGAUUCUUCUCCAUUCCAGAUCUGAGGUAGCAACCUCAGAUCUAACCUCUAAACAUCCAAUUACAUCCAUAGACAAGUUCCCACAAACCCCAAAAUGAAGAAACAACAUAAUAAUAGCCCAAGAACAAGAUAUUACCUCCAAGGGACGACCCAACUGCAAAGUAAUUCGAAUCCAAGCAAAGCCCCUUGCUCCAAGCCUUCAAUCUCCCAAAAUCCCUUCAAUAAUCAUCUCCUUCAAGCUCCCAAAUGAGAUAUGAUUACUCACACACGAAGGCUAAGGGUUUUUGGACUUGGGGAUGAAUAAAGAGGCUGAGAGUGGGUUGUUAUGUUCUUUAUAUAGGGCUCAACCCCUGGAAUUAGGGUUUUCUCCACUCAGCGCCUACUCGUCGAGUCCUCCUUAUCGACUCGCCGAGUCGGCUACUUAACACACGACCCAGUCGCGACUCCACUCGCCGAGUCCAUCCAUGGACUCGCCGAGUCACUCUUCCAAAACUUACUCUUUUAGCCCUUCAACUCUACUCUUGAAGUUUCGGGAUGUUACAAUCUUGGACUCCACAAGUUUCCUCUUCAUCUCCAAUCCUCAAGGUAAGCUUGGAUUCGCAAAUAUCAACCAAAGCUCUAGCAGUAUUUAGUAAUGGGCAACCAAGAAUGAUUGGGGCAUUGACAUCUUCCUUCAUGUCCAUAACCACAAAAUCAACUGGGAAAACAAAAUUCCCAUUUUUUUACCAGGAUGUCUUCUAUAAUGCCUCUGGGAUGUGUCACAAAACGAUUGGCCAUGUGAAUGGUCAUUCUUAUAGCCUUCAUUUUCUGAAUAUUCAGCUUCUGGUAAAUGAAUAAGGCAUCAAAUUUAUGCUAGCCCUUGAAUCAGCUAAAGCAUAAGUCUUCAGAUUAUUCCCAAACUCACAUGGAAGAGUGAGGCGUCCAGGAUCUCCCAUCUUCUUAGGUAACUCUCCCGAUACGACUCUUGCGCUCUGUUCACUUAGAAUAACCUUGGGAUCUUUCUUCAACUGCUAACAAGUGUCUAUCAAAUCUUUUAGGAGCUUCGCGUACUCGAGAAUCAUAGAUAAUGACUCGAUAAAAGGAGUAUUAAUUGGAAUCCCUUUUACUUACUUCAUGAACUCCAGAUGCUCCUACUCCAGUGGAUGGAUAGUAGCUCGGGAAGGGAACGGUAAAGGUGCAUUAUAAGCCGGAUCAAAUUAUGCAGUUUACUGUUCAGACCAGGACCACGUCGAGAGCAUAGAAGACUCACGUCAUGAACUCGGUGUUUCAGCAGCAUUUUUAUUUUCGAGCUUCGACUUCUUUGGCUUCGGUUCGGUCUUCUUUGGCUCCACUUCUAAGGCUUCUAGGAACUCAUAAAUAGCCUCUUCUUCAGUAUCGAUCACCAUGACAUAGGAUUGAGUCUUUUUUUCGGGAAAUUUUGGUGAAAAAUUUUCGUUAGCCAAAGUUGUUAGUUGACCAAGUUGGGCUUCGAGAUUGCGUAUUGAUGCUUGAUGAUUUCUUAAAGAUGUUUUCUGGUCAAUCAUCGUUUCCUGAUGCUCUUUCAUCAUUGAUUGUUGUUCUUUUAUCAUUAUUCUUUGAUCCUUAAGUGUUGCAUCAAUAUCAUCAUGCCUUUUCUUAGAAGCUUCCAUAAAACGAACUAGCAUGUUUUCCAAGUCAACUUUCAUCUCAGUUGGUGGUUGCUCUUUUUGGUAGAAGCCUCGGCCUGUCGGCCUAUAUUUCUCCUCCUUCUCCUUCUUGUAUUCAUCAUAUGGUAGCCACUCUUUCUUUGGUUUUCUCCAGUCUUCAUAGUAUUUAUCUCGAUAAGCAAACUUGAGCUCUUUUAUUCCCAUAUUCAUCCAAGUAGCAAUCCUUAGUCAAGUGUGGACCAUUGCACCUUUCACAACCAACUCUUAUAGCAUGUAUUGACUGGUCCAUCUUGGUCAUCCUCCUAUCCAUAGUGUUGAGCAUGGCUAGUAUAGCAACCAUGUCUGCAGAACUUCCUCCCUUAAUUCCUUUAAUGCCUUCAUGCCUUGGAUUGUGGUACUCACGAGAAUGCUUCGCGAACUCUUCAAUUAGCACCUUGAUCUCAUUUGUAUUUUUCUUUGUAAGUGGUCCUUGAUAAUCAAGGAGUUUUCUUGUCAUGAAAUUGACCCCAUCAUAGAAUAUGGAUACUUCUUGUUAAAUGUUAAGGUAAUGUUGAGGACAAUUACUUAACAAACCUUUGUAGCGUUCCCAUGCCUCGUAAAGUGACUCACCCGGAUUUUGAUCAAAAUUGGCUAUUGCCUUCUUGAGUUUAGCUAUCUUGGAAGGUGGGAAGAAUUGUUCUAGAAAUUAAUCACGCAUCUGUGCCCAAGUAGUGAUUGCACCAGGUGGUAAUGCCUUCAUCCAGUCUUUUGCAGCUCCUUUAAAAGUGACUGGUAGCAUCCUCAGUAAAGCUGUCUCUCUAGGAACAUUAGGGGCAUUGAAAUAAUCCGCAAUGCCAUUGACCUCAUCUAGAUGCUUAACAGCAUCCUCAUGGUCCUUCCCAUAAAAUGGAAUAUCCUUAAGUGCAGUAAGGAUGUGUCCUUUCAGCUCGAAUGUGGCAGUGGCAGGAAUUUCAGGUUGUACUAACCCCUGACCAAAAUCAUCUCUAAUUCGCUUCUUGUAAGCUCCCAUAGACAUAUUCCCAAUGUUUGCCAUCUCGUUUUCUGGCUCGUCUUCGGAUUCAUUUCUAUGUAGUUCGAAUUCUGGGUUAGAUUCGUACUCGGAUUCUUGUGGGUUAGUUUUUUUUAUCAAAGCUUUCAACCUUUGAUGAUGUACUAGAUUCUCCCACUUUCGUUCCUGACUUCUUUCCAAAAACCGACUUUAGAUAUUUAAAAAGUGAUUUCUUUGGUGUUUGGUUCACUCCUGUGUUCUUAUCCGUCUUCUUGUGAAGAGCCGACUCUGGAUCUUCAAGUGGUGGCACCAAAGGUGUGUUAGAGCCUUUGGUCAUGAACUUCAGCAAAAUAAACAAAAAUAAAAACGCAAAACCGAAUUAAAAUUAACUAAAAGUUGCCUACUGACUAGUCACCACGACGUAGUAAAGAGUACCACCUCGUGUUGUCGCAGAAAAUUUAACAGAAAAGAAAAACAAAGAAAAACGAAAAACUACUGUACUCACGUCGUGAGCUUAAGGCUCACGUCGUGAGUCUAGUACUGAAACAAAAAUGUAGGCUGAAAAAUUAACUUUUUGCAGGUUUUAUCCCACAAAAAAGGAUCGAUUAAUUUAAAGAAAAUAAAUCAACAACUAAAUAAGUCGUUCCCUGGCAACGGCGCCAAAAAAACUUGAUGUGCACAAAACUACCUACUAGUUUUAAAUUUAUAACCUAUCUAACUUAACUAACUAAAAUGCACCUAGGCAGUGUACCUAGUCGAAUUAUAGAAUAGUUUGGGUAAGUUGGGUGUCGAUUAUAGGGAACGGUCUUAAAUAAUUAAUCUACCUACUAUUAAAUUAACCUAAUUUCUAAUAAAGGAAGCGGUUUUAUCUAAUUUUGCAAGUUUAGAAGAACUUAAUUCUUUAACACAAAUUCAAUAAAUAAACACAACACUUCUGUUAGUUCGAAUCCACUUUCCCUCAAUAGUUUAUAAAUUAGUUAUGAUAAUUAUUGUUGGAUACCAAUUAAUAUAGUAUUAGUAAUUCAGUUGUAAAUUUACUAACAUUAAUUAAUUCAUGUACAUCUAUGUAUGGUCACACAAUAGUUAACACAUAAUUAAUUAUUAAAUAGAAUUGGAGCCAGGUAAGAUAGAUUUCAAAAACACACUUAUGAUCAUAAUACGAGUUCUCUAGCACAACCUAAUUCAAUAGUUCAGUUACUUAUCUAAGAUUGGUUCUAUCCUAGCUCUAAUAAUCUAAUGUUCACUAAAUUACUAGGCAUUCAAAUUCAUGCAUAUUCAUAUUCACUAACUACACAGAACAUGAAUUUAAAGCAAUCAAAUAUUAAGUCAGCUUGCGAGGUUCAAUCAAUUAAACACAAGUCAUAACCAACAAUUAAAUCAAAGCAAAAGUAUUUAAAACAUGAGUUCCAGCUUCAUCUAGCUAACAGAAGCAGCUAGAUUUAGCUGGAUAUCCUAGCAAACAAACACAAACAAACCCUAGUCUUAAUCAUGUUUUGAAUGUACCAAACUAAUAAGCUGAGUAUGAGCUCUUCCUUCUUCUUUGGUAUGCAACCUAAUUCUUGACCUUUUCUUCUUCUGAUUUUCGACUCCAGAAACUUUCCAAGUCAGCCAAAAGUUUUUUUUAAGUCGUAGGGAAUAAGCCAAUAUAUAGUUUUCUGAUUUUUCGCGCUCACGUCAUGAACAUAUAUGUCUCACGAUGGGAAUAUAGUAAUCAUUCGUGUUAGGCAAAGACUCCUCUAUGCGUAUCCUAUCUUUUAGAAUAUUCAUACUCACGUCAUGAAUAAAUAUGUCUCACGACGUAAAUGUAGUUGAUUAGGUGAGUUUUUUUCUCUUUUACUCUCCAAGCCUCCAAAGUUCCAAUCUUUGAUGAUUUUAGUCCUUUCCUCCAAAAAUGAUUCUAUUUGGCUGCAAAGUACAAUUAAAGCUUAUAAGUAUCAUUAUUCUAUGCAAAUAACCAAAAUAUAUAUAAAAAUAUCAGUAAAUAUUUCCUAAAAACAUGCAUAAAUAUGGCAAUAUCAGUGUACGAUCAGCCGGAGCUAGUAAGUAGACCCCAAAAUAUCGUAUUGUUAUGUGAUAUUGUAAUAUGUUAGAAUAGCAUGCUAGUGAUAGGCUAGGGAUCUUCAGGAAUUGCAUGAUAAAAUUGCAUGAUUAUAUGAUGCAUGAUAGCAUAGGACCUUUCUUUUAUGGAAUUGACAUCGUUACUAUAGUUGCUUAGGGUAUGCAUCAUGGUUAUAUAUAACUAUGAUAUUAUAGCCUGAGAAUGUUUGGUUUGGCCUUAUUUCAUGUUCUUGUUUGAUGAAGGGAUUAGGGUAGGAUCAAAUAUUCGAAUGUCUAUAGGGUUCAAUGUUAUGUAUGGCUAGCAUGCACAAGUGCUACAAGGUUGGUGGAAGUUUCAUGGAUGAGUUGUGUGGGGUUAGCCGGCCAGUUGUGAGAUGUUUAGCCUUUCCUCUAUGGAGUGUGGAUUGAGUGUUUUACUAUGCUUAUUAGUAUUGUUAGGGCAUUGUAACGAUACUUGAGACGAAUACAGGUAGGUGUAGAAGGUAGUGUGGGCCCGUACUACUAAAAGUACAAGAACCGUACACAUAGUAAGGAAGUCACCACCCCUAGGGCUUCAUUUGGAGUUGGAUCCCCGUUAUGAUAUAUGGAUUAUCUAAUAUCUUCCUGGUGUAUUUUCAGUAUGGUGACUACCAGACAAGUUGAGAUCGGAUCCGGGUCAGGAUCCGGAGCUGGUAGACAGGGUAAGCUAGUAUUGUCAUAGGACCGCGUCAGAGAGAUCAUUCAUGUGGAGGUGGUUGCUAUUGUCUGGGGUCAGAUUCCAGAGAUGUUUGGGUCCAUCAAUACCGUGAUGAUGGAGUUCUUUGAUGAUCGUUAUGCAGCCAUUGUUGAGAAGGAUGCUGUUGCAGCCUCUGUAGCCGUGGCGGCUGCAGGUGUUGGGACAGGGCGGGUCUUUCAGUAUCGGGACUUCGAUAAUAUGAAUCCCAUGACUUUCAAUGGAUUUUAGGACCCGGUCAUAGCUAGGAGGUGGCUAUCUUAUAUGGAGGGAUGUUUUUUCAAUUGUUCAUGCCCUGCUGACUAGAAGGCCAGGUGCGCUCUGAACCUUCGGAGGCCCAGAGCGAAGGAUUAGUGGAGGCUCGCUUCUAGUUCUUAUUCACUAGAGCAGAGAGUUGUUAUGUCAUGGGAGCAAUUUUCUGAUAUGCUUCGCUCCAGAUAUGUCCCGCUGGUGGAGUGUAAGAGAUUAGUGCAGGAGUAUCUGAAUUUGAGACAGGGGUCUGAGAUGGUGACGCAGAUCACCAAGAUGUUCACGGAGAGAGCUAUGUUCUACCUUGAGUUUGCUACAUUUGAGCAGGCUCAUAUGACCCAUUACUUGAGCAUGCUCAAUAUGGAGAUCAGGCAGUUUGUUUCUACAGAAUGUUAUGGUUCAUUGUUGGAGGUGCAGGAGGCGGCCAGGUGGCAUGAGAUUGAGAUUGAGUUUCUGAUGUCAAGACUGGUCCCAAAGCAGUUGCAGUUUGCGCUAAAAUGGUUUAGGGUCGCUGACUCCAGGUCGGGGAGUCAGAAGGGUCGUACUUGUGGGAAGUGCGACAAGGUGCAUGAUGGAGUUUGUCGGUCUCCUUAGGGUUGCAACAAAUGUGGCAAGCAAGGCCACAUUGCGAGGGACAACCGGAAACAGAGUCCAACUUUUGGCAUCAGACUUUCUUACCAUUGUGAUCAGGUGUGCCAUAUGAAAGCCCAGUGUCCCUUGUUAGCCGCCAAUCUGGUGCAGGCUCCAGCACCAGCUACUUUAAGGAUCACUCAUGGGAGUCAGGGCAAGGCGGAGCGCCCGAGGGCUCAAGGUCGCGCUUUCCAUCUUACUACCGAGGAGGCCAGGGCAGCACCGAAUUUUGUGACUGGGAUGUUUCGAUCCCUUAUCUUGUUGAUUAUGUUUGUUUUAUGCUCAUAUGUUUGUACCUUUGGUAAGUACAUAUCUACUGAACUCCUUGCUUGAUGUAGUAUUGUUUGACUCGGGUGCGAGUCGGUCCUUUGUUUCUCGGUCUUUUAGUAGGGAGUUUGCUUUGCCCAUAGGGGAGUUGGGGUGUCCGUUGCGAGUUUCUAUCUCCAAUGAGCACAGGGUUUCUACUUCUUCGGUUUAUCAGGGUUGUGUUUUGGAGAUCUUUGGAGUAUCCUUCCCGAUCGAUUUGAUUCCUAUGCCCAUGGGGGAUGUCUAUGUGAUAGUGGGUAUGGAUUGGCUGGGUCAUUUCGGUGCCAUGAUCGACUACGAGGGUUAUCACGUGGUAGUUCGAACCCCAAGUCGGGGAGAACUAGUUAUUUAUGGAGAGGGCACUAGGUUGGGUUCAAGGUUUUGUUCGGCUGCCACAGCUCGACAGUAUAUUCAUCACGGGUGUGCAUAUUAUUUAUCUUAUGUGGUGGACACUUGGGUUAGGGAUCAAGUGUUGGUUUUUGAUGUUCCGGUUGUCAGGGAGUUUGCUGAUGUAUUCCUGGAGGAGUUACCUGGUGUGCCUCCUGAGAGGCAGGUUGAGUUCAGGAUCGAUAUUGUACCAGGUGCGACCCCUAUUUCCAAGGCGUCGUACCGAUUGGCACCGCUUGAGAUGUAGGAGUUGUCAUCUCAGCUGCAGGAGCUACUAUGAAAGCAGUUCUCCGUGGGGAGCACCGAUUCUAUUCGUCAAGAAAAAGAUGGUUCACAUAGGAUGUGUAUUGAUUACCGGGAGUUAAACAAGUUAUCGGUGAAGAACCGUUAUUUCCUUCCGUGGAUUGAUGAUCUAUUUGAUCAGUUGCAGGGAGCAUCUUGGUUCUCCAAGAUUGACCUGAGGUCAGCGUACCAUUAGGUCAGGGUAAGGGAGGAGAACGUGGAGAAGAGAGCGUUCCAAACUCGUUAUAGACAUUAUGAGUUUGUGGUGAUGCCAUUCGGGCUCAUCAAUGAGCCUGUGGUAUUCAUGGAUUUGAUGAAUUGAGUAUACAGGCCGAUGCUCGGUUACUCGGUCAUCGUUUUUAUUAAUGAUAUCUUGGUGUAUUCCUAGACCAGAGAGCAGCAUGAGGAGCAUCUUCGUGAGAUUCUAGAGGUUUUGAGGAAAGAACAACUUUAUGCUAAGUUCUCGAAAUAUGAGUUUUAGUUACGACAGGUUCAGUUCCUUAGACAUCUCAUUAAUCAGGAUGGGAUUUUCAUCGAUCCGAACAAAAUCGAGGCAGUGAUGCAGUGGGAAGUUCCGAAAUCUCCCUUGGAUAUCAGGAGUUUUCUGGGUUUGGCAGGGUACUACCGGAGAUUUAUUCAGGAUUUCUCCAAGAUUGCAGUACCCCUCACUCGUCUGACGAGGAAGGGGGUAGAUUUUCGAUGGGGCCCUAAGUAGCAGUCAACAUUUGAGACCCUUCCACAGAGGCUUUGCGAGGCCCCAAUUUUGACCCUCCUUGAGGGAAUCAAGGAUUUUUGUGGUUUACUAUGAUGCAUCCAUCAUCGGGUUGGAGGCAGUUCUCAUGCAGAGAGGACGAGUGAUAGCUUAUGCUUCACGGCAGCUGAAGUCACAUGAGACGAGAUAUCACACGCAUGAUCUUGAGUUGGGGGCGGUGGUUUUCACCCUCAAGAUUUGGAGGAAUUGCCUUUAUGGGGUCCGUUGUACCAUCUACACAGAUCAUAAGAGUUUGAGGCAUAUGAUGGAUCAACCGAACCUAAACAUGAGGCAGAACCAGUAGUUGGAUGUAGUUAAGGAUUAUGACUGCAAGAUCCUUUACCAUCUGGGUCAAGCGAAUGUGGUGGCAGAUUCCUUGAGCCGCAAGUUGUUUGGAUCUUCUGUUUCGAUGUCAUGUAUGAGGAUAUAUGUGGAUUCUCCACUUGUGGGGUUGAUUAGGGAGGCUCAGGCCGAGGGGUGCGGGAAGAAAAUUGGAAGAUUGUGAGGAUCAGGGGCGAGAUCACCAGAUUAGUGCCCAACAAUCAUGGUUUGUUGACCCAUUAUGGUCGCGUAUGUGUUCCUGUGUCUGGUAGGGUCAGAUAGAUUGUGUUGGAAGAGGCUCAUAAGUCUCAUUUUACUAUCCAUCCGGGGGCUAACAAGACGUAUCGGGAUCUGAGGUUGAGUUAUUGGUGGUGGUGCAUGAAGAGGGAUAUCGCUUGGUACGUCGAGAGGUACUUGACCUAUAUGAUGGUCAAGGUCGAGCAUCAGAGUCCGCAUGGAAAUCUGCAGCCUUUGGAGGUUCCCAUGUGGAAAUCAGAGCAGAUUCUGAUGGACUUCAUAACCAAGCUGCCAAAGAAGGAAAAGGGUUUUGAUGCUAUUUGGGUCAUCGUGGACCGAUUAACCAAGAGUGCUCACUUUCUGGGAAUCCAGGAGAGCUCGUCGGCUGAGAAGUUGGCUGAUAUGUAUAUUCGUGAGAUCGUUGCUCGCCAUGGGGUUCCAGUCUCUAUUGUUUCAGACCGUGUUGUUCGGUUCACCUCCCGAUUUUGUCAGAACUUACAUGAGGAACUCGACACUAGGCUACACUUCAGCACAACUUAUCAUCCGUAGACUAACGGACAAAGUGAGCGGACAAUUCAUACUCUCAAUGAGAUGUUGCUAGCUUGAGUUGUUGAUUUUGGUGGGAGCUAGGACUCCUACCUACCUUUUGUAGAGUUCUCCUAUGACAAUAAUUUUCGCUCCAGCAUUGGUGCUCCGCCUUUUGAGAUUUUGUAUGGGCAGAGAUGUCACACCCUAGUCUGUUGGGGCGAGGUUGGUCACAAGUUCAUGGUUCGGACCCAGGUAGUCCUGUAGACUACAGAGAUGAUUCAGCAGAUCAGGCAGAGAUGGCAGACUGCUUAGAGUUAGCUGAAGAGUUAUGUCGACCGGCGCCGAUUUGAGUUGAAUUUUCAUGUUUGUUACAUGGAGUUGUUGAAGGUCUUACCUUGGAAAGGUGUGAUUCGCUUCAAGAAGAGGGAGAGGUUGGGCCCCCAAUAUAUCAUACCAUUGCAGAUUGUUGCUAGGGCUGGUAAGGUUGCUUAUAUAUUGGAUCUUCAAUAGGAGCUCAGUCAUAUACAUAGCACAUUCCAUGUAUCACAACUGUGAAAGUGCGUAGUGGACGAGGAGGAAGUGGUAUCAUUGGAUGAACUAUGUCGAGAGGCUGAUAGCUAUUCUAGAGAGGAAGGUGAAGAUUUUGCGUAACAAGGAAAUACCGUUAGUAAAGGUGUGAUGGUAGCACCGGAGGGGCUCUAAGUGGAGUUGGGAGCUGGAGGAUGAGAUGCCGGAGCAUUAUCCGGAUUUGUUCUCCGCAGCAGGCUUCGAGGACGAAGCCUAGUCCAUGUGGGGGAGAGUUUGUUGGGUUUUGAGCAUUCUAACACUUCCUAAGUGUACAUGCAACCCUAAAUACCUUGGAUCUAUGUUUUCUCUAUUAUACAUGCAAAUAAGAACAUCCAAGGUAUUAUCCUAAUCUAGCAUACAAAACAAUGACUAUAGCAAGAUAGAAUACAUACCUCUUUGGUGUAGAAAGUCUUCAUGAAGCUUGAGUGCCUAGUGCCCCAAGUGUGACACCUCAAAUGGUUCACACAACACCAAAUACACAUGGAAUAACUUGAGAGAAAACCCACACUUCAUGAAAUCGGCUAGCCCUUCUAGUACACCCACUAGUGCCGAUUUUUGGUGAAUAAUAUGAUGCUUAUAUAGUGUUACAAUUAGGGCAAACCCUAAUUGUCAUGACUUUCCAUUUCCUUGGAUCCAUGGGUACAAAUACACCAUGGAGCAUCCAUGGACCAUCCUAUGGGUUUUAGCCCAACUUGAUUAUCCAUGGAGCAUUAGCCCACUAUACAAGUAUGGAUGAUUUACACAAUCAACCCAUAUAUUUAAUUAGUCUUCUUUUGAUCACUUAAUUAAUCCUAGAUUAAUUCUUGAUCAAUACUAAUUAAAUAAUCUUAUUAUUCUUAUUAUUAAUAUACUAGAACUUAUAAUAUAUUAAUAACCAUAAGUGUCUUAUUUCUCUCAUUUAGUCUAUCCAAGUGCAUGAUGCCAUGCAACCCAAAUGGACCAUGCCGGGUCGGGUCAAGUCUUACCAAUUAUAGUUAUGGACUUAGACAUUAAUCCAACAGUCUCCCACUUGGAUAAGUCUAAAACUAUUAUUGCGUAUGACUUCAGGAACCAACUGGCAAUCGUAGCUCUCAAAAGCUUCUGUCGAACUCUGACCUUGUAGAUGAACUCUGACCUUUGUCAAUGACUUGUCCAUUAGAUAAGGGAUCAUAUAUUCCUCCAUUCUAGAUAUCAUAUGGACUGAGACAUGGAUUAUAAUCAUUCUCUCUGUCCAUUUGUUGUUUCCCGAUUUCCGAUUUAUGACGACUGACUAAUUGAACAAAUCAAAUCAGUCCUGGCCCGGCCGAGCACUUCCAUUUGUCAUCAUCAAAUCAUCGAGGGGCCCACAGAUAUCGCUUUUAUCCCGAAGGUAAAAGGAAUGGAUAAACUUCGACUCAUAUGGCUUGUUCUACUACUUGUUGAAUCAUACACAAAGGCACGUUUUAUAGCACCGAGUUACCAAAUGCGUUUUCGUGCAAUCAAUGUACUAUCAACUCAUAGUAACAACUCAUAUCUCUAGGUUUGAAGAAUAUAAGAUAUUAUCGUCUCAUGAUCACUCGUGAUAAAAUCCAUGAAGUGAUUCCAAUGAGCGCGGGUUGAAUCCAAUACUCAGAACUUAUGAGCACUCAUGAGUGUUGUAGCCCUUUGUCCAACACCUUAGACCUCUACAAGCCAACCCAUGACAGUCUUAAUUCAUAUCUACUUCCAACAUAUGACCGACUGUGGAUGGUUUGAAUAACUUAGUCAUUCCGGAAGAAUAACCCAGUUUAUUCGGGAAGUCAAAACAUGCAAAAUGAAACACAAUAAUAAUUGAAUCCAAUAUGGUAUCAACCCUUUGAACAUAAAUAAAACACCUUUUAUUUAUCACCAUAUGAUUACACAUUAUUCAUUGUAUACUGUUUCAGCUAUCAACUUUAUUCUUGAAUUUAAAACAAUAGUUGUCCCAUGCUCCAAGCAUGUACACUAUGUUUUCUUAAACACUAGUCAUGCCACACACCAAGUAUGCAUACUAUGUUUGUCUAUGAUCUUUACUUUGUGAACUAGAUCAAUUGAACAUAACUUCAAUGAUUCUCUUUUCACACUCCCAAAUCCUUACUGCAAAUGCAAGAAUUCCAAAUUCAUGCCAUUUACUGAAAUCUGUUAGAUUCUAAACUUAUAUGCAUUGAUCCUCUUGUAAUGAUUAUGCACAAAGUCACAAAGACUUGGCAACAAUCAUUACAGAGUAUUCCAAAGGAGAUCAACUCCUUGGAAAUAUCCUUCUUGCAUUAAGUUUCCUUAAUCUUACACAGAUUGAAAAUUCUAACUUUGAAACAUUUCCAGAUUCCAUUUUGACUAUCACUUCUGAACAAGAGUUGCCUCCUUACAGAUUAUGUCAAUAUGGUCCUUCCAGAAUUAUCACUAUACUUCCAAUUGUCCUUGAGUAACCAAUCUUUGGUAAACCUUAGAUUGUCCUCGACAAUUGUUUAAUCCUUUUAGUCAUAUCCAGUUCUAAACCUUUUCCCUUCUUAAUGCCCCAGGCAUUUGGAAAAUUUUAGAACGGAUGAAUAUAGCACAUGUAAUCGAUCCUAUAUCCGAAGCAUAUGGGACACGAUUCAUGAUGUCUUACAUAAAGACUAAACCAGUCUUUUGCUAUAAUAUUUCCAUUUCAAUUUGCCAAGUUCUCAUAAUUCAGAUUAUGAAAAGGGAUGCCGUAAUCAUAAUCGAAUUUUAGAACGCAAAUAAUGGACCCAUAUACAGAAUUUCCUUAUGUUGAGCCAUUCCAACAUGAAAUUCAUAUAUAUCCUUGACUAAAUGAUUAAAACCUCACGAUCUAAGCUUAUAGAUUUGAGAUGAAGCAUAAUUUCCUCUCCCUUAAUUAUAGCAAAACAACUUUUUCCCAAUUGAAACUUUUGUUUUCUAUAAUUAACAUUGCUAACUUGCAAUACUUAUCAUAAUUAUCAUGCUCCCACUAACAUGAUGAUUAUUAGCAUAACACUUAUGCUCCCACUAGCUUUGACAUGUACUCAGAAAUCAGCUGGACAGUCUGAAAUUUAGAUUCAUACACCCUUUCCGUAGAUAGCUCACCUGUGUGUCUAAGCAAUUUCAAGAACCAUGAAAAGGGAUACCGUAAUCAUGGUCUCAAUUGCUUAGGCAUUUGCCAUUUCUCACAAGUCCAUGUUAGUGUGCCGGUUAACCACACGCGCUCCACUAACGACUUUUGAAAAUGCAAAUAACACAAUUGAUAUCUUCGUAAAAUCUACUUAGUGAAAGCGUUUCCUCACCAUCAUUUUCAUGAAUCGGAGAGAAACCUUAUGACACUUAGAUUUAUAUGGUGUAUGAGUUCCUACCCAUAUGAAUUUGUCAAACCAUAAUCACAAGACAAAGAUAAUGACAAAUCCAAAACCAUAUGGAUUGAACUCAAUCUUAACUUCUUGCCACCUGGCAGCUCAAGGGCCUGCCAUUGCUUCCAAGUUGUUAUGCAACAAACUGAGAACUCUAAGAACUCAUAUGCAAAGCCAACUUUAACUGGAAUGGGCACAGAUAUGUCAACACGAUAGGUUAUAAACCUCAAGUCGUGUGCUAGUGAAGAACUUUAGGUUUUAUUCUUGAUUAUUUCUUGAGACUUUCAAGACCUUUAAGACUCCCACUGUCCUCUUGACAUAUAAGACUCCCUUGUCAAACAUCCAAGAGAUAGUGCGGAUUCUAAUCAAGAAAAACACUUUACCCAAUUGGCCUAAGUUGGUCUUUGUUUUAUCCAAAACAUCACAACUUACCAAUUUCAAAUGUACAAGAGUAGAAAACUUUUACUCUUACAUUUGACAAGUGUUUUAAACCUUCUUUAAGACAUGUCACUCAAAUGACAAUCUUGGAGUAUGACUCUAAGACUUGUAUUGGAACGAAGUAUGACUCAUCUUCUUGAUUUAACCAUUUCAACAAUUCAAGUUCCUCUUCUUAGUCAUAAGAAUGCACUAAGAUUUCCUUAGAGAACUAAUUUUGAUAUGGUUUCUUAAUCAUUAAGAUGAUCACAAAACUGAUACUAAAGUACUCUCCCAUCUUUUCAGAUUUGAGAAACUUUUAUCCUUCUGCCUUAUUUGAUUCUUCUUAUCGAUCUUUAGUGGUGGACUUAAUCAGUGCACAAGAAUGUGUACUCGAUCCCUAAGUCCUUUACUUGACUCACACAUCCAUGUGAACAAGUAAUUAGUCUUAAUUUUCCAAAACUUGAAAGUUCUCAUUCAUCAUGCUAUACAACUUGCAUGAUUCCAAGUUCCGGUCCAAUUGAAACUUGGGUGAUGAGAAUCUUUCCUUAUUUGGUAAAUUUAGACAUUACCACAAAUGAAAGAAUCAAUUUCAUAUUUCCACUCUUGCUCUUAAUGGAAUCAUAUAAGCAACAAUUUUUCCUCAAAUGCCAUUGUAAGGAUAUUUUAAAAUAAAUAAAAUAUAAAAAAUUUUCUUUUAUUUUAAAACUUUGCGGAAAAACUUAUCCUUACAAUCCAUAUGAAAACUUGUUGUUAUCUAUUCCUAAGCAAUAUCUCAUAACUCCUAAGAAGUAGCUCAAGAAUCCGAUCUUCAAACUAUGCGAUAGAAAUCCAUCUACGCCAUCAGAUUCAGCAUAUUCUUUCUUUAAGUUUCUUCACUUUUCUUUGAUUCUUAAAACAUCACCAUGUGACCCAGUCACAUCAUGUAUCAAGAAUCUCAGAAUAGAAACUUAACAGAGUUAGAUAGUGGACUUUACCUGAAGUAGAGUCAAACUUAUUGACUUUAACAUCCUUAGGUAAAUUUGGCAGCUUCGCAACCAAUGCCCCUUCCUUUGGCAAUAUAAACAUAUGGACCCUUUGAUAAUGGUACACGGGACUAUCACAGACUUAGCUUUUCUCUUUACCAUUUGGUCAACCGAGUUGACUAUGGCCGAUCCCUUUCCAUUGGGAAGAGAAUGCUUUACUGGAUAUCCAAUGUCAUCAUUGUCAAUGUCCAUAAAGUUUUAGGAAGUUGAUCUUAGCAAAUAGAUAAGAUCAUUAAGGGUCUUGUCAUAGUCUGUUUCAUAGGUGUCCCAAAGGAACUCACUAUGUGACUUAGAAAGUGGUUGAACCACCAACUUUCUCAAGACUUUGACACCCAACUCUCCCGGCUUGUCAAUAUGUGACUACAUCUCCAAGAUGUGACCACACCUAGACCUUGCCUUGCUAAUAGGGCCUGAGUGACCUUAAACUUUUCAAGAACUUGUGGGUUAGGGAGAAUAAUUUGAAGAGGUGAAGAAGUAUGAUAUCCAUGGGACAUCAUCUUCAUUAGGAAACCUUGUUUCAAGAGAUUUGGGAAGAUCAUAGGUGUCUAAACCAGACAUCUUUUGGGAGAUAUUCAAGAUAGUUGAUUUAAAGUCCUU
rnacentral:lncRNA from 1 species